rnacentral:lncRNA from 1 species
CAGGAGCGUAGGUAACGAAAUCGGAGAGGUUACGGAGAACAGCGGAUUUGAUCAGGCACUGAGAUUCAAUAUCGUGAACCGUAGAGCCACCGGGGAAACAAUCGGAAGUAGAUAAAGCGAUAUCUUGGAGACCAUUGACGAUGUCGAAGAGAUUAACCUCCGUGCGAUUAGCGGUGUUAGAGAACGACGAUGCGAGUUCGGCGAGGGAUUGUAAGAAUUUGGUGGUGGUUAGGGUUAGAGUGUUGAGAGCGGAGGCAUCGGUGGCUUUGUAUCCAAUAGAUUGGCAGAUUUGGCUGACGGCGAUUUUGGUGAGAGAGAAGGAGAACUCUGCCGUGGAUGUCGGUGAUUGGUCGGAGGUUUCUUCGAAUUUAAGUUUGGAGUUACGGCGUCGUCGCUUCAUUGGUGGUGGAGAGAUUUUGAGAGGAUCGAGAAAGAGAGAAGGAGGCGAAUUGGAGUUUAUGAAUUUUUUAAAGAACCCUAAAUUUUGUGAAGUAUCGAACCGGCGUUGCAUUGGUUAUCAGUGAUUUUUAAUCAGCACUACAAGCCACGAAGCCAGGAUCUUAUUCCAUCCUAAAUAUUAAUCUAAACAAAGUAUAUAAUUGAAGGGAAAAAAUAAACUGUUAACCGAUACGGAUCGACCGGUUUGAGCCCAUCGAACCGCGAGUGAGACCCUUGACCGGUCAUGUUUAUCAUGAAAAACAUAAGUUUGAACAUAUGAAUUCUUAAAACCAGUGAAAACCGGCGAACCGGUAAAAACCAUCCCUUACGAAAUUAUUGAUUUUUCAAGUUUUUAAAUUUUGUUAAGAUCACAUAUCGAAUUCAGGAUUUGGAUAGCUUUACCUUAAAUUUAACAUAUCUGAAUCCAUAGACCUGAAAUCAAGGAUUUCAUCGAUCCAUUUUCAUCUAUAAAUAUGUUAUUAUCAUUAAUUUUUUACUUAAAAGACAAAAACAUGACAUAAUUCGAUGAUAAAAUAAUGAAAAAGAACAUAAAACAAAAGUUUGAUAAUAGUUAAAAAGUGAUUUAAUUUAUAAUGAAUGAUGAAAUAAGACAAAUUCUUAAAAUUUUAAGCAUCUAAUUUUAUUAGAAGGUUGUCCUCGAUUCAAAGUGCUUAAUAAUAAGUUAUUUUAGCAAAUUAAAUAUUGGAGGCAUGAUAGAACAUAACUAGGGUUCAUUGCAGUCAGUUACAAAGAAAUUUUUAGCAUAAUUUAUUUUGGGCAAUUGGGCACAAAUUGGCUCUGUUUGCGACACACGCAUUUUCCAUUUACGCAACACGCCCGACGAUAGUCAAAGAAUAGCAUACUUCCACACUCAAGGUAUGUGUCACGUAUCCCUGAUCCCUCCAUGAUUCACAUCGAUGCUUUUUGUAUUCAUCGCUUGGUAACGAUAGACACUUGCAAAUUCCGCUUUCACAGUAUCGAUCAUCGACCUUGUCACAACUACGCAUGCUUUGGCACUCAAGGUCUGUGUUACAUUCCCCUAUGUGAUUCACGUCGACUCUUUUGGUAUCCAUCGCUUGUAAGUUGUAACGUAAGACACUUGCAAUUUCCAUUGUCGCAAUAUGUCAGACCUCUCUUACAAGUAAGUAGGUUGUGGCACUCAGAGUUUAUGUCGCAUAGCUUGACUUUUGCAAGAUCCAUAAUCAUAUGAAUAAUAUGUUAGUCACAAAUGAAAAAACUUGAAGCUUGAAGCUUCAGGUUGUAUAUAUAUUCUUAGGAAAGUAUUAUAGUGUAAUUAAUUAACAUUAGAUUUGAAGAUUUAUAUUGAUAUAUUUUUUUGUGAGAAGAUAGUAUAUAUUGAUAACCUGACAUUUGGUAACUCUUUUGUACAGCUAAAAUUGUUUGCAUUACAUUUUAAGAUAUUCAUGUUAAAUUAAAAUUGUUUGUAACACACCACCACAAGUUAUAAUUAUCCGUAGAUUGUCAUCUGUCUAAAUCAAUUAUAUUUCCGGUUUUUGGAUCCAUAUUCUUUGGUUGGUCAUAUAUUUCAAUAAUAAAAUUAAGGAUUUAAUGUUAUACGAUUAAGAUUAAGCAACGUCAUUUAGAAAUUGCUUUCAUCACUUUCAAACCAAAACGGGGAUAUGAUCCUUUUUAUUAAUAUAAAGUAAUUAUCUAACAAAACAUAUUGAUUUCAGGGUUACAUCUAGUUCAGAACAUAAUAUUCAUGUAUGGAUAAAAGGGGAAGCAUUCGGAGGGAUAAAUUUCUCUGAAGGGGAAGGGUUAGGAGGCGUAAGUGAAGGGGAAGCAUUCGGAGUUGUUCCUGUGGGUCUCACCGAAGGAGAAGCGUAAGGAGGCGUAAGUUUCACCGAAGGGGAAGCGUUGGGAGUUCCUGCAGGUCUCAUCGAAGGGGAAGCGUAAGGAGGCGUAAGUUUCACCGAAGGGGAAGCGUUGGGAGUUGUCCCUGCAGGUCUCACCGAAGGGGAAGCGUAAGGAGGCGUAAGUUUCACCGAAGGAGAAGCGUAAGGAGGCGUAAGUUUAACCGAAGGAGAAGAGUUAGGAGGUAUCGAAAGAGAAGCGUUAGGAGGCACCGGAGGAGCAGAAGAUCCGUAACAAUUGCCUAUACAUGCUUUGCCUUCCCUAGCCUCGAUUCGUAUGCUUUGAUCUUCAAUUUAUUUUAAGAAAAAACAAAGGUAUCAAAUUAGUAUACUGUAUAUGUUUUCAAAAACUAGAAACAUUAAUCACAUAUAUGAUCUGUAGUAAAAGAAAAAUUCCAAAUGUUUUUUUAAAUCCAAAAAUAUAAAAGAAAGAUAGAUUAUAGUAGUAAAAAUAGCUUAAGUUUAACUUAGAACAUGUGAGUUUUUUUUUACUUUGUUUUUAAAACGGCAGAAUUUAACAUGGUAAACAUAAAUUACAUUUCCACACAACUUGUAUAAUUGGUUAAUUAUACAAAAAUGUGAACAACUUCACUAUUUUACGAAUUCGCAAUCAAAAAUUCACAUUUACUUACAAGAGAGAGACAAGAAGAGGCAAAGAAGAAAAGCCAUCCUAAAGUAUUGGUUUGCCAUAGCUAAACAAUGUUUUGGUAUUGGAAUGCUUGAUGGUUAGCUUUUGUGAGAGAACUAGCUACUCUUGCGUUUAUUUAUAUAUCGGAUGAAAAAACAGCUUUUCCACUUUAUUUGGAAUGUACUUUAAGUUUCAGAUUGUGUCUAUAUUUUCAUUAUUAUGACACUUAUUAUCAUGAAAUUUCAGAUUUUGUCUAUAUUUCAUAUUGGAUUUUGUCUAUAUUUCAUAUUAGAUUUUUUCUAUAUUUCAUAUUAGAUUUUGUCUAUAUACAGACUUUAAUUUUGUCUUCAAUUAGAAAUUUAUUUCGUCUAUAUAUAUAGAGCAGACUUUAUUAUCAGUUUGACCCAACGAUCCAAAAUAGGGAGUAUAUCUUCCACAGAUAAAAUUACUAUACAGUUUUUCAAAGUGCUUUUUUCUUUCUUUCGUUUGUACCUUUUUGUAUUAAAAAAUAAAACAGAAAAAAUUACUUGAUAUAAAAUGUAUAUACUUUAACUUUAACUAUAUCCUUUACACUACUGUUGUUAGAACCAUCAUAACAUUUGUUUUUGCAUUUUUCAACCAAAAAAAUCAUUCUAUGUAUAACUUAAGUAAUGAACUACUCCCUUUGUCCCAUAUUAUUAUAUUUUGUUAUUUUUACAUAAAAUUUAUUAUUUAAUAUUAUUUUUAAGGAAUUAACAAAGAGAAAAAAUCUUCAGAAUACAAGUGGUCAUAAUAUACUAAAUAAAUUAUGCAUAAUUAUUUGCAAAAAAUCUAAUAAAAUGAAACAAGAAAAAACAGUCUAGACUUGGGACUGUGGGAAUAUUAAAUAACCGGUUACUAGAGCUUGGGUCAGACUAUCUCAUUGACAUAUAUUGGUAUAUCUUCAACUAUUAACAUAUAUCUCACAAACGCGCACUAGUAGAUGUACAAAAAAGAAGAAAAUAAAGAGUUAAAGGUACCUUUGGCACAUCAUAAAAUCCACUUACCCAAGAUGGCCAUGCCACCGGCACCAAGCAAAACAGCCGCAUAUGACUUCAUUUGUAGUUAUUAGAUGGAGUAACAAUUACUAUCACAAUUUAAGGAACCUGUACUUGUUUUUUAACUAGUAUAGAAUCCAACUUAGAAAGAAAAAAAUGUUGUGAUAGUUAAAAAAAAAACAAAUUUGAUCGUAGUUAUUAGAUUGAGUAACAAUUACUAUCACAAUUUAAUGGAUGGAGUAAGAAAAAUUUGAGAGAGAAGAAGCGAUCGAGUGAGCAACUGGUAACAAGAAUACAAAAAUGUGGCUAGGUUUUAAGGCUAUUUCGUUGUUCUUCUUGCUGGGAAGCUUGAUCGUAGCCACUGGUACGGUUUGAAUCACGAAUACAAGAACGAUGGCUUCACAAAAUCGCUAAUGCUCGCUACUUAAAUGGCUGUAACAAAGCUCUUUAUCAUGCUUUUGAGUUUCUAGAUGUCCAUGCUUCUUUUGAUACACCUCCUAUCAGGGGAAAGUCAUUCGUCAGGCACACACAUUUUGUUUUCUCUUCUACAAGUUUCCGUUGAUCUAGGGUUUUGUUUGUGAAUUCGCUUUCAAAAUAGAUAUGUGAUUUUGUAGAUUUUGGAUUACUGCUUCUUAGGUACUGGUUUUUGUGCUUUUUUGUAGUGAAAUUCUAUAUGGAGAUUACAACAAUUUAUAUACAUAAGUUACUAAAUUUAGUUUUUUUUUUCCAAACUACAUUUAGUUUUGUUGGUACUGAAUUUUGCGCGUUUGGUGUAGUGUUGUACUCUUUACUUCAUGACAUGUAAUCCGGAACUUGAUUGCACCAAAAUGAGAGGAACGGUUUGUUAUGUGUCUAAACCAAUAUUCAAUUGUUUAAUGUUAUAAGAUUGAGCAUUGUCAUUUAGAAAUUGAUUCCAUCACUAUCAAACAAAAUAGACAUUUGAUCCUUUUAAUUGAUAUUAAUUAAUAAAGAAAUAUAUUUUUACAUCUAUUUUAUUAAUAGUAUUCAUUCAUGGGAGUAGGAGCUUUAGCUUUAUGACAUUUGCAAUGACAUUUUCUUUUAUGUUGUUCAAUGGGGGUAGGAGCAUUAGCUUCUUCGGAAUCUAUUAUUGAAGGUGAAGGAGUAGGAGGUUUAUGUUUAUGACACUUGCAAUGACACUUGCUUUUAUGUUCUUCAAUGUCCAUAUAUUCUUGGUCGACUCCUUGUUCUGAAUCUAUCAUUGAAGGUGAAGGAGUAGGAGGUUCAUGUUUAGGACACUUGCAAUGACAUUUGCUUUUAUGUUCUUCAAUGUCCCUAUAUUGUAAUUGGUUGACUUCUUCUUCUAAACCUAUCAUUGAAGGUGAAGGAGUAGGAGGUUUAUGUUUAUGACACUUGCAAUGACAUUUGCUUUUAUGUUCUUCAAUGUCCCAAUAUUCUUGGUAGACUCCUUCUUCUGAAUCUAUCACUGAAGAAAAAAGAUUAGGAGGACAUUUGCUGCCAACUCCUUUAUGGUCCAUGCAUUCUUUGUUGGCUCCUUCUUCUGAAUCUAUCAUGGAAGGAGAAGGAGUAGGAGAUCUAUAACAUAUGCCUAUACAUCCUUUGCCUUCCCUGGCCUCAAUUAUUAUGCUUUGAUCUUCAAUUUAUUUUAAGAAAAAAAAAACAAAAAAUGUCAAAUUAGUAUAAGUUUGGUAACACUGUAACUAGAAUAAUCCCAAAGAAUUUAAAUUCAUGAAUAUAAUGGAAACAUAGAUUAUGCAAAAAAUGGUUUGAGUUUAACUUAGAAACGGCAUAAUUGAUCAUAAAUUACUGAAUAGAAAUUACAAUUCCACAAUUUGUAUAAUCGGUAGAAAACUUCACAUUUACUUACGAGAGAAGGACAACAAGAGGGAGAGAAGAAAAGCGGUCAUAAAGUAAAUGUUGGUCAUAGCUAAACGAUGUUUGUAUUUGGAUGCUUGAUGAGUAUGGAUUGUGAAAGAAUUAGCUAGUCUUGAGUCCAUUUAUACAUGGGAUGGAAGAAGAUUUUUUUAGUUUUUUUUUUUGAAAAAUGUACUUUAAAUUUCAGAUUUUGUAUAUAUUUAAAAAAAAUAAAAAAUAUGACAAUAAUUCAAUCAUCUAAGAUACAAAGUCUAUUUACAAAUACAAUUACUAUAAUACAUUCACAGAUUUUUAAAAUAAUAAAAUCACAGCUAUAGUAUCCUAUUGCGCAUUACUUUUAUUUAAACAAUUUUAUUUUUAAUUUAUUUGAUAAUAUUAUAUUUAUCAAUAUAGAAUAGAUUUUGUAUUUCAGUAAUAACUUCAUGUUUAAUAUAGAGAAGACUUAUUUUCAGCUAUGAUCUUAUGAUAUGGAAUCUAUCUUCUACAAAAAUAAAAGAAAAUCUAAGACCAAGUCCAUCGAUAGUUUUUAGUGGGUUUCUUAGUUGGUUUCUAAGAGAAUAAUGGGCCUAAAUUAAAUAAAAAUUCAACAAUAAUUUUAGGAACGUUCCUAAAAUUAGGUUUUUGGAAACUCAUUAGAAACGCAUACGUGGCUAUUUGUGAUAGAUUGUUUGUUUUAAACAAAAGGAAAAUUUUCUCAGCUCUCUUUUGUUUGGUUUCUUCGUCGGCGAUACCAAAGGCGAUUCAGCUUGAUUUGUUUGAUCCAGCGUUUUGAUCAUGAAAUCGGGAGAGCAACCACAUAUACUCAAUAUACAACCGCCGGAAUGAUGAUCGACGAUGAGAUUGUUCACCAAAUCAACUUCAAACCGGAUCUUGUGGUUAUAUUGUUCAAUUCUUUGUAACACCAGGAGCUUCUAUCAUGUGGCUAUCUCAUGAGCUCUUACCAAGAGGUAGAAUCCAGCUCUGUCUCAAGUAUAUCUCUUUUAAUGCACUUGGAGUUUUCUGAAAUUUUUGCUCAAAAAACAUGGUUGUGGCAAAACAGAGCCUUUAUCUGACAUAGAGAUGGCUUAAGAACAGGCUAAUAAAUGAUAUGUUGUCUUAAGUUUUAGGUUCUAUCUGAAUGUUGCAUGUUUGGUCAGAAUGUCCUUCACCUUCUAGUAUUUCGGCUUUAAGUUUUAGCUUCUAGUAUUUCGGCUUCUAGUAUAUGUGUAAUAACUUUGAGACUGAAUGUUUGGUCUGAAUGUUUUCAGUUUAUGGGUUAAUGAGAUGAGUAUUUGUGUUUGGUGAGUAUUUGUGUUUGGUGAAUGUUUGGUCUCAAUGUUUUCAGUUUAUGGAUUAAUGAGAUGAGUAUUUGUGUUUGGUCUGAAUGUUUGUAGUUUACGGUUUUGUUUCAUCUGUUAAUGUCAUGAUUUGCUUCAUUUUGCAGGACUGCGAAGAAUAGAAAUGGUGCCAACAUCAAUUGUGGAAGAGACCAAAUGCUUUAAAUGUAUGUAUUGUUGUGAGUUUUAUCGAUUAAUGAGUUUGGUCUGAACUUAACCAUAUCCAUUAAUGACUGAAUGUGUGUGUUUGGUCUGAAAUUAACCAUAUUGAUUUAUAGAUGAAUGUGUGUGUUUGGUCUGAACUCAACCAUAUCGAUUAAUAGAUGAAUGUGAGUGUUUGGUCUGAACUUAACCAUUUUGGUUACAAUCGAGUAAUGAGUUUUAUUUCAUGAGUUUCAUCUAUUAACUUAUGUACUUAACCAUUUUGUUUUCCAAAUUUUUUUUUUAAGAAACCCUCUUAAGGAUUCUACCAUUGAACCAUAAAAAUUACAAAAAACUCUAAAUUACAAAACUAUCAAAAUUAACCAAUAAACAAUUUGAAGAAACUCAUAUUAGAAACCAACCAAUGUGGGUGCUCUAAGAAGAUAAGUUAAGAAUCCCAGAAAAGAAGAAAAGAUACAUAUCUCCUUUCAAAAAAUAAAAAAUUUCUACAUAUCUCGAAACUGACUACAUGUUCAUAUAAAGAGAUAAUCAUCUAUUUGGAUGAAAUCUCUCACACAAAAACCUAAAAGACCCUUUCUAGUAUGAACUUCACAUGGCUUGAUCUUAUUACAAAUGUACGUAGGCAACCUCCAUGAUGUGCAACUAUAUCAUAAACAAAAUUCCAAUUAGUCAAUUCUCUCGUGGUGAAGCUCGAGUCUUGUUGAAAUCAUCGUCAAACCCGACUUGAUUUAUCAUCCAAUUUAUCUGUGCCGGAUUCACUCGCACAAUUGUCGUGUGUCUAAACCAAUUUUGGUUUUUGGAUCUCACAUUGUUUUCUAGAGGUCGGUCACACAUUUCAAAAAAUUUGAAAGAUUUCAUGUUAUAAGACUAAGAAUUGUCAUUUGGAAAUUGAUUGUAUCACUAUCAAACAAAAAUAGAGAAUAGAUCUUUUUUUUUAUUAAUAAUAAUUAUAUGAAGAAUAUAUAUUUCAGAGUUACAUCUAUUUUAAAUAUAAUAUUUAUUUAGGAGCUUUAGCUUUAUGACAUUUGCAAUGACAUUUUUUUUUAUGUUUUUUGUUGACAUCUACUUCUGAAUCUAUCAUUGAAGGUGAAUGAGUAGGAGGUCUAUGUUUAUGACACUUGCAAUGACAUUUUCUUUUAUAUUCUUUAGUACCGUCCAUAUAUUCUUGGUUGAGUACUCCUUCUUCUGAAUCUAGCAUUGAAAGGGAAAGAUUAGGAGGACAUUUAAUGCUAAGUCCUUUCUGGUCUAUGCAUUCUAUGUUGGCUCCUUCUUUUGAAUCUAUCAUCGAAGGAGAAGGAGUAGUGGAUCUAUAACAUUUGCCUACACAUUCUUUGCCUUCACUAGCCUCGAUUGUUAUGCUUUGCUCUUCAAUUUAUUUUAAGAAAAAAAUGUCAAAUUAGUAUACAACUGGUAUUAUCAUGACAUACAAGAAUCUAAGAAAAAAUAAAUUCAUAAAUAUAAUAGAACAUAGAUUUAAGCAAAAAUACGCUUGAAUUUAAUUUAGAGCCAGCAUAAAUGAUCACAAACUGCUAAACAUAAUUGGUUAAAUUAUGAAAAAUCUUGGAAAUACUUUCACCAAUUUUUGAAAUACCAAUGAAAAUUCUCAUUUACUUACGGUCCUAAAGUAAAUGUUGGUCAUAGCUAAACAAUGUUUGUAUUUGGAUACUUGAUGAGCUUGGUUUGUGAGAGUACUAGCUAGUCUUGAGGCCAUUUAUAUAUGGGAUGGAAAAACAAUCUUUUCACUUUUUAAAAAAAAAUGUAUUUAAAAUUUCAGAUUUUGUAUAUAUCUUGAUUUUUAGUUUUUAAUUUAGACACUCAUUCAAUGAUCCAAGAUACAUAGUCUAUUUUUCACAAAUACAAUUACGAUAAUAAAAUCACAGAUUUUUAAAAUACAAUUACUAUAAUAAAAUCACUGGUAUAGUAUCCUAUUGGGAGUUAUUUUGUUUUUUUUUUUGUUUUUUGGCAAAGGGGAGUUAUUUUGUUUAAGAAACAGUUUUAUUUUUUAAUUUAUUUGAAAAUUUACUCUAUAUAUUAAAAAAAAAUCAAUGUAGAACAGAUUUUUUUCAGUUAUAACUUUGUCUAAUAUAGAAAAGACUUUGUUUUCAGUUAUGAGUCAGUCUUAUGAUAUGGAGUCUAUCUUCCACAAAGAAAAAUAUUAUAUAAUAUAUAUACAGUUUUUAAACUGUGUUUUACCUUGUAUUAUAUUCUAAAAAACAGCUUUUUUAUUUACUUUGUUAAAACUACUUGAUUUAAUAAUGUUGAGAAGGCAAAACAAAUAUAUAUCACACUUUCUCUAUUGAGCUAUAACUCAUAUCUAAAGUUUUACUUUACAUCAUAAUCAUCUUAUGCAUAAUUUAAGUAACGGAUUUUAGAACUUGGAUCAGAUGAGAAGUGUGUGUACUAAUAAUUUUUAUUAUUUGCAUAUCUACAUAUACAUUUUUGCAGCCUUUUUGUGAAAUAAAUCUUGGAGUUGAGACUUAUUUACAAUGGCUGCCACUAACUUUUAAUUAUUGGUUUUUUUGGGUAAUAAAUUAAUUAACAAACGAAAAAUAUUCCAAAUAUAUUCUAAUCUCAUAUGUCACGCAGAUAUCUCCAAAAUUUGAAUUAGAUUUCAGCAACUAUUUAAAACAAAAAAUGUUUGACAAACCAAAAUACAAUUGAAAUCCCUUAAAAUGAGCAAAACACACCUAAAUACAUUCUUUAUCUAUACAAUAAAUCUUAUUUCUCCAAAAUUUGAGCUAGAUUUUGGCAACUAUUUAAAACAAAUAUUUGUUUGACAAACCAAAAUACAAUUGCAAUCCCGUAAAAUAUUUAUUUUAAUUAUAUAUUUAAAUUAGCGGUGUACCGCGGGUUUUUUUACGGGAUAGAUUUGGCGGGACGGUUUGACAAGACGUUACUUAAUAACAAUUGUAAACUAUAAAAUAAAAAUAUUAUAUAAAUAGAUUUAAAAAUUUGCAACUUUAAUAUAUACUAAUUUAAAAAAUAAAUUGUUCUCACGGUAUACCGCGGGUUAAAAUCUAGUUCGUUUACAUAUUUGAUUCUAAUAUAUCUAACGCCUACGAUAUGGUGUUAUGUCAGUUGCAUUGACAUUUUACUAGAACAAUUUAAAUUAAAUUAUGAACAAUAGAAAAGUUAUAUGGAUGCCCAUUAUACGGCAAUUAGUAGAUCCUAGAAGAUUUAAUCUCUAACAUAAACUCUAAUGUUGUAUUUCAAUGUAUAUGUCAUAUCUUGUAUAAUUGAUUGAUAACAGAAUGCACAAUUCCCUAAAAUCUCUUUGUUCACAACAAAUUAGUAUAUGUAUCUUGAUGAUUUAUACUGCACAUAUAUGAUUAUAUAUUUAAAUAUUUAUAUUUAAUAUACUGGUUCAAGUUGGAGAUAAAAAAUUUUAAUUUACAAAAAUAAGUAAAUAAUCUAUUAACCCUUAAAAUGUACAUGCUAGAUUCUAGAACGAUUAAAUACCAUCUAGCGAUUUAUUAAAUAUUGGUAAUUAAUCUGCAUUCCAUAAAUGUCAAGUUAAACGUACGAUAUUUACUAAAAACUUGUGAAAAUGGCAUACUACUUAGUAAAAUUUUAAAUGUAAUAUUGUGGAAUUAGUAUUGUAUUAGUUUACCACUAUCCAAAUUCAACUUCGCAUACGCUUUUAUUUAGAUAAGACAGCUUUUUAUAUACAUUUAUUAGCUAGUACACAAAAUAUGUGCCCAAUAUUUGAUGUGCAAAUGAGAGAAAAAGUCAAUACAUCUAUUUGUAAGCUCCGCUCUUAACUUAAACAUCAUCAAGCCCACUUGGCCAUGACGGACAUGCCACCAGCACCAAGCAAAACGGCAGCAUAUGACUUUAAUUGAAGCUUGAUGCUCCUUUGCAUUUUUUGACCCAUAAAAUCGGCAGCUAGAAGGUCAACUAAAGCCAUGUAGAUGAGUAGUCCUGCCGAGGAAGCGUUGAGCAACCCAACUGUUAUAAGCGAUUCAGGGCUAUUCUCUUUGUAUGUUUUAGAUAGUGCCAUCCCUAGAACCACUCCAAAAGGCGUCGUCACCGCAAAAAAGAAAGCCAUCACCGCCUUUUUAACCCACCCGUACUCCGCCUACAUGUAUUAUCAAGUUCUCAUCAUAUAUAUGAUUUCAUAUCAAUUCAUUCAAAAGCACGACGUUUUUCAAGAAAUCAAACCAUGUGGAACUUUUUGUGUUUAAACCAAGAAAAGGAAGAAAAAAAAAUCAUGUGGAAUUUAGUUUAUAGAACCAGAAUGGAUGGGAGUAAUUACUCGGUCCGACUAAUAAAUUAAGUGGAAAGGAGGAACUCACCUGAAGGAUGCAACCGCCGAGACCCAUGCCUUCGAACAUUUGAUGGAAGCAAAGCGCAGCGACGAGUCCUUUGAUGGUGCAAGUAUUGUUAGUGUCUCCUACCGAUAGUCCUAUCACUAUCGACUGCACCACUAUUCCUAGCUCCAAUACCUAUUCCAUUUUAUUCAUUUCAGCUACUCACUUAUUAAAUCAUAAUUAGUGUAAAUGGUUGUCACUCAAAUAAAAGCAAAAGAUGAAAUAUAAUUAGUGGAAUAAAUUAAAAUGAAAAAUUACUUGUUCCUUUUUUUUUUAACAAAGAACUGUGUUUUAUUUUUAUUUUUCUAACUAACACAACAAACAGGGUAACAAUUUUGUUUUACACUAUGCAACCUACAAUUAAAAUUUGAGUUACCAGUUAACCUUAGAAAAAUGGCAUAUUAAUGCCUUCGUAUGUGAUAAUGUGAAUAAUCAUUUUUUUCCUAUAAACGAACCAAGUUAUAACAAUUUCACUUAGCUUUUAACACAAAUGUUUCUCAAUGUGAGCAUUUAUAAAAAAACAAUUUAUCUGGUUUAAUGUUAAAAAAGCAUUUUUGUAAUUAAAUCAAGUUAAGAGAGUUUUAUUUUUACAAAAAAAAAAAAAAACGAGAGUGAAGGAAUACUAACGAUUGCAAGAAUACGAUACCGCAGAAGCUGUAAAUAAGAACCAAGCUCUUUAUCAUUCUCUCCAUGAAGAUUGUGAGGAAGAGUAUGGCUAUGAACAUGGCCAUGAACCUGUACGUGCCCUAUCUCUUGGUCAGGAGUCUCAACGGAUGCUACGUCAGCACGUAGAUCUUUCCUUCCUGACUUGGUGAAGACGCUGGUGGUAAUAGAGUCAACCAUGAGCGUGAACACGGCAGACAUCAUGGCUACAAAGCCGGCGAAAGGAAACUUGUGCCAGGGGUUAUCGUUAAGACAAGGAGAUGAAAGCAUCUCGAAAGAAUCAGGCAAGACAUGCAUGAAACCAGUGGAAAGGAUGAUUCCGGAGGCGAAAGAUUUUACGAUGAGGAAGUGAGAUUUCUCGGGUUGGAAAGCGGGAAUUGAUCGGGCAAAGAACGGGAGGCAAACACCGAUUAGACUAGUGAUGAGAAUUGAGAAGAUUGAUAAGAGUUUGAGAUCUAAUGCUUUGUUUUUGUCUAUACAUGAGUAGUUGGAUUUUGAUUGGCAAUCUUUAUUGGAUUGAGAGAGAGCUCCCGGGAAAUGCGAGAUGGAGAGUAGGAGAAAGAGAGCGAUGGAGGCAGAGAAAAUGACAUGAGAUUUAGUCAUCUUUCUAUUUGUUUCUUGUGGAGUUUUUUGAGUUUGAUACAAAGUACAUUAUGUCUUAAUCUUCUUAUAUAAGACAAGACUUGAACCCUCGACCUCAAUCAAAGUAAGUGUCGACAUUACUAAUUAAUCAAUUGUCAACAUGUUUUGUUUAGAAGAUAUUGAAAUACUCAAAAAAAGUCUAAACUAAUUCUAGGCAUACACACACAUAUAAAUUUCUUGAAUAUGUUCUCACUUGCAAAAUAAAAUAAAUCAUGAUAGUAGUUCUUGGUUAUAACUUAUAAAGAUAAAGAUAUAUAUAGAGAAAAAGAAAUUCAAUUUCAUAUAUAUAGUCAUUAAAUCUUUAGUAUUAAAUAAAAUGAACUGUAAUUAGGUGUUAUAUUUUUCUCGUUGUAUACGGGAGUAAUAAACUAAAAGUAAUCAAAAAGGUUAGAUAUUAUUGUAUAGGUCAAAUUUCUUGACACUUGAUCAAACUGUAUAAAUAUCUAUGUUGGGUUUAAUAUUACAUGUUGAAAAACUUUACCUAUCAUCAUGUUACCCACGUUAUACAAAUAUCGGCAUAUGGAUAAGCCGUCACACUCCACAGUCCAUAUAUGUACUUAGUGUACGUUUUUAAGUACAUGAUGUAAUACAAUAAUAGUAUUCUUUUUUAUUGUCAAAAAAAAUUAUAAACCCUAAGUUGACUUCUAACUUUUUUAAAGCUGCUAAUCCAUGUGGAUGAGGUAUCGGAGGAAUGUUUCAACAAAUGAACAUUGAUGUGAUUGUCUUACAACGACAUACUAAGCUAUAAACAAAUUGAUCAGCUUUAUCAAAAAAAAUUGAUCAUGGGUAGAGAAGGAUACAUAGAGGUUUUGAGCUCGGCUUGACGCGAGACCUAAGACUCGUACGAGGAAUGACAGACUUGUCAGUUUUGUGUAACCAACAAUAUCAUAAAUAUGUUAGGAUUUAGUAAAGAAGAACACAACAAUUGAAGCGGGAAAAAGAAGACAAUGCCAGCUCAGCUUGAUACACGUGGAUAUGCAGGACCACAAGACAAAGAAUACCCGUUUUGCUUGUCCGCUAAAGCAAUGGUGUACGGAGGAGACAACUCUUGUCUUGUGUGUGAAGGCAGAAGAGCCGUUACGCCUGAACCAAAGCAGGCUACAAGACAAGCUUGGAGGCUACUGCAGAGGAGCGUGUAGAGGAGAGGAACCGAGAAGGAUCCAGAAGGAGACUAGGUUAAAAUCUCUUGCUCUAUUUAAGUUGAGCAUUGUAGAGAGAGAAAAGUUAAGAAACACAGAGGCACUUAAUCGAGAGUAAACUUGUAUUGGGUGUUCUUGGGGAAACAGAGAGUGAAAGAGAGUGAAUCUUAGUUAGCUUUGUAAGGGGCUGAGAGGGUGAGAAAUCUCUUUGUAAAUCUCUAAAGGUUGAUAUAGUGGAUUCCGGGAGAGAGUUCCCGGCCCAGACGUAGCACCGUUGGUGUGAACUGGGUUACCAUUGUGUGUGUGUUCUGUUCUGCAUUUCUCAUUACAAAGGUUCUGUUUUUGGUUCUAAGUCGAAGUUGGUUCUAAAGCUGAAACGUUCUUGGUUUGUGGUGUGUUAAUCUUCACAAAAUAUAUAACUUCAAACUUUAAAAGAAGGAAAAAAAAAUCGGUGAAAUUUAUUUGAAAAAGCAAUUUGGAAUAGGUCGAACAGAAUGUUAUAAAAGCUCGUUGUUGACAUAUAUAUAAUUCGUACGAAUGUACUUCGCUGACUUUACUUCUACUUACAUCAUACAGAAUACGAAUCCUUUUGAUAAAAGUUAUUAGUCGUGUUGAUUUCGAAAUCGCACAACCACUGUUAUUAUACAAUCACUAAUCCAAAACCACCUCAUUCGUUGUUAAAGCUAAUAUAAAUUCAUCCUACCAAAAAAAAGCUAAUAAAAAUUUAUUUGGAAAUUGCAACGAAAGAUCUUAAAAAGUUUAAUGUUUUAUAUAUUCGGAUUAUGUUAUGAUUGGUAUAUGAAUCGUUUUAGUUGAAUUGGUAUAUAAUUUGGUGGUCAAGUAGGUUUGCAUAAAAUUUAAAUACUAGCUAGCUUUAUAAACUUACAUUAUACAUAAGCACAUGCCUCUCAUAACAUAUAUUGGAUUUUGGCCUUUUGGUCGUUUGAGUCAAGCAAUUAAAAUUUUAUUUGAAGAAUAAAUUUAAACUAUCAAUAUUCAAUCAUGCCAGACGAGUCGUUAAAAGUCAAUGGAAUUAUUGGUUGAUAAGAUGAGAUAUUUUCGAUCGUUCUUAUGACUAUCUAGAUAUGAAGAUGAGUCAUACAAGCUAUGAGUUCAAAAACGGUGUAAUUUUGCCUUGUUUGAAAGGACACAACAAUUAUGAAAUUGUGUUAGUUUAAUAAAGGUUUAUGAGUCUUUAAGUCAAGACGACGUGCAUAAUCAUAUGGAAUGAACAAAUAAUUAAUCUUGUAAGCUUAAUAUUGUUACUUUGCUAGUAAGUUCUGAAUUUAACUUUGACCAAAACUAAAAAGUUUUGAAUUUGAUAUUCACUUUGUUAUACGCAUAUUUUAGAAUAGCAAUGAAAUUGGAAAAUUUAAAAGUAGUAUUGAUUUUUUUUUUUUAAUCAAAGGUUUGUUUUCAUUCCAUUAGAGUAGCUAACACAUACAAGGAUAAAAGGACUCUAAGAUCCCAAAAUUUAGAACAACAUAAUAAAGGGUAUACCCCAAAAUUACUAACAUGAAAAUAAGAGAGUAGAUAGAGUUAAUCGACAAAUUAUCUUUUGAGAGCUUUGAACCAAAAGCUAAGGGGCUUUGUAGAACAUGUAAGGUCAAGGUUUGUCGAAGUUUCUUCCAAGAGCGAGUCAUUGGGUGAACGAAUUGUUAAUGUCGAGAGAUGAAAUAUCGUUGAUGAGGGGGCUAAAGAUAAGCUUCUCGCCGACACGAGGAGAACUACACAAAAUAGUGAUUUAGCAACUGUUCGGGCAAUGGUGGUGGUGUCGCAGUGAGGGUUUAAGGGCAUUUGACCAAUGUUGAGCAAGUAAACAAACUCGCAACUUACGGUAUUUGGUGAAGCUAUUAUAAGGGUUCGCACAUGGAGAGAGUGUAAAGCCGUAACAUAAUAGGUGGAUCCUCUCUCAUAUUGAUUAUGACUUCGAUGAUGCUAAAUCACAAUUUGGUAUUGUGCAUCCGUUCACAAAAGUUAAUUAAAUCAUUCGAAUUGUAUGUUCUUUGGCGACCCGUACGAUACUUGUUUGUUGAUAAUCCACACACAUGGGCUGAGGAAAGUUUUAACCUACGGCCUAAGUACUAAUCACAUUCUUUAAUCGAACUUAAGGCCCAAGUGCUAAAUCACGACACAUUCUUUUAAUUUCAUCAGAGAGACAAUAACCGUAACAGCGCAACAAAUAACAAACUUUAAAGACAAAAUGUAUUUCCAAAGAGCAAACGUGAAACAGAAAGAUCGUGGUCAUAAAGACAACAUCGUGGGUUCAAGAUGACUAGAUAAACAUGAGUUAUGGACCUUACGGUUUUCCAAAAAUCCAUUUUUUAACCAUUCAUUAUUGGAUUCUAAGAAUUUUUACUAAUUUCUUAACAAAAUCCAAAAUCUCAUUUCAAUGGGUUUUUUUCAAUUUCCUCUACGAGAUCCUUUUUUCUUUCAAUUUUCCAUUUGAUUUUUUUUUUUUUUUUUUACUUUUGUUACAAAAUCCAAAAACCAAAAACUAAGGCCAUGAAUGUUUGUAAUUUUAAAAAUGGUUUUUGGAUUUUGGUUUUUGGUUUUUAGUUUUUGAUUUUCUUGGUUUUUGUUUUUGGUGUAGAUUUUAGUUUCUUAAAAACUUGAAUGGUAGUUUGUUUAGAUUUUGGUUUUUAUGUUAAUGGAUAAUAUUUUUGUAACAAAAAAAUCUAAAAAUAAAAUAAAAGAAUGUAAUGGAUGGUUUUAUGAUUUUGGUUUUCUUUGAAAAAUUGUUAAAACACUCAAACACUAGAUUCUCUAUUUUUUAGAAAAACUUAUUUUUUUCAAAAUCUUGAAUGGAUAUAAAAUAGAUUUUGAAAAAAACUAAACCAAAAUCUAGUUUAAAAACCACACCCAUUCAAGGUCUUAAAACUAAAAUAUUUAUGUAUUAGUUUUAAAUUACAAAGAUAAUAAAAUUGAGGACAGUUGAAAAAGAAGAAAAAAAAGUUUGUAUGUAUUUGGAAGUUAUUUUUCUCAAGUAGAAUACUGUGAAAGACGAUUCAACAUCCCUUAUUUUACGGUUGUGUCAAGGAACAUUCGAGAACUUUUUUUAAUAACUCCUUAAGGGACAAGUUCUCUCUGUUUUUCUUUUUUCAAUAGCUUCUCUGACACUUUAUUCUUUCUUUCUGAUAUUAUAAACCUCCGAUUUGGUUUAGUUCAAAACUAGAAGCAGCAAAAUUCUGAACACGUAAAGCUUUGUUUCACUCAGUGUUUCCCGAUCAGAUCCAAUGGAGAGAGGUGGUUAUCGAGGAGGUCGUGGUGAUGGCCGUGGUAGAGGUGGCCGUGGUUAUGGCGGAGGCGGAGGAGGAGGAGAACAAGGUCGUGAUCGUGGCUACGGCGGCGGAGAACAAGGUCGUGGUCGUGGCUCAGAGCGAGGCGGCGGAAAUCGUGGUCAAGGUCGUGGUGAACAACAGGAUUUUCGAAGCCAGAGUCAGCGGGGACCUCCGCCAGGUCACGGUGGCCGUGGGACGACGCAGUUCCAACAGCCUCGACCACAGGUGGCUCCGCAGCCGUCGCAGGCUCCGGCGAGUUAUGCCGGUUCAGUAGGAGGAGUCGCUGGUAGAGGCGCGUGGGGUCGUAAGCCACAGGUUCCGUCUGAUUCGGCUUCUCCGUCCACCAGCACCACCGUGGUUUCUGAACCCGUUCGUGGUAUAUAUGCUCAAUUUUAAUUUUGUUCGAGAACUCUUUGGGAAAUGAAAUUAGGGCAAAUUCAUAGAAGCUUAUAAUAAAUGAUUAGAACUUAAAUUAUGAAAUCAUUAGAGAGAUUUAUGUUAGUUAAUCAAUAGCUUUUGAUGAAUGUUUUAUGUGAUUAUUGUUUAGCUCAAAGUUGUAAUUAUAUUUUUGAAAUGUGACAGUAGCUGAAGUUAUGAAUCUGAAGCCAUCGGUGCAAGUUGCGACUUCUGAUAGGAAAGAACCAAUGAAGCGACCUGAUAGAGGCGGAGUUGUGGCUGUGCGGCGUGUUAAUCUAUAUGUGAAUCAUUAUAAAGUGAAUUUCAAUCCUGAAAGUGUUAUAAGACAUUAUGAUGUUGAAAUCAAAGGAGAAAUUCCUACCAAGAAGGUUUCGAGGUUUGAGCUAGCUAUGGUUAGGGACAAGGUGUUCACUGACAAUCCCGAUGAGUUUCCCUUAGCUAUGACAGCUUAUGAUGGUCAGAAGAACAUUUUCAGUGCGGUUGAGUUACCUACGGGGUCAUACAAGGUGGAGUAUCCUAAAACUGAAGAGAUGAGAGGUCGAAGCUAUACGUUCACUAUCAAACAGGUGAAUGUGCUGAAGCUAGGUGACUUGAAAGAGUACAUGACAGGGAGAUCGUCUUUCAAUCCGCGUGAUGUGUUGCAAGGAAUGGAUGUUGUGAUGAAGGAGCAUCCUUCCAAGUGUAUGAUCACUGUUGGUAAAAGCUUUUUCACUCGUGAAACUGAGCCAGAUGAAGAUUUUCGUUUCGGGGUUAUAGCUGCGAAAGGGUAUCGCCACACUCUGAAGCCCACAGCACAAGGUUUGUCUUUGUGUUUGGAUUACUCGGUGUUGGCGUUCCGCAAAGCAAUGUCGGUCAUUGAAUACCUGAAGUUGUACUUUAACUGGUCUGAUAUGCGUCAGUUUAGGAGGCGUGAUGUGGAAGAGGAAUUGAUUGGUUUGAAAGUCACUGUCAAUCAUCGGAAGAACAAGCAGAAACUCACCAUUGUAGGGCUGAGUAUGCAAAACACAAAAGACAUCAAAUUUGAUCUUAUUGAUCAAGAGGGAAACGAGCCGCCAAGGAAGACGUCCAUUGUUGAGUAUUUCAGGAUAAAGUAUGGAAGACACAUUGUUCACAAGGAUAUACCUUGCUUGGAUUUGGGAAAAAACGGUAGGCAAAAUUUUGUGCCCAUGGAAUUCUGUGACUUGGUUGAGGGACAGAUAUAUCCAAAGGAUAACUUGGAUAAAGAUUCAGCUUUGUGGCUAAAAAAGUUGUCACUGGUCAAUCCACAACAAAGGCAGAGGAAUAUAGAUAAGAUGAUAAAGGCUCGUAAUGGACCGAGCGGGUAUGUGUACAAAGAACUUCACUUUUAUUGUCUAUCUUUUUAAAAUUUUGUCAGUCUUAUAUUUUUGUAUGUGUGUUUAUGACAGUGGUGAAAUCAUUGGAAACUUUGGAUUGAAAGUGGAUACAAACAUGACACCGGUGGAAGGUCGUGUACUCAAGGCUCCAUCAUUGAAGUUGGCAGAGAGAGGGAGAGUUGUGCGUGAGGAACCCAACCCGAGACAGAACAACCAAUGGAACCUUAUGAAGAAGGGAGUCACAAGGGGAUCUAUAGUCAAGCAUUGGGCUGUACUUGACUUCACUGCAUCCGAGAGAUUUAACAAGAUGCCUAAUGACUUUGUGGAUAACCUUAUUGAUCGUUGUUGGAGACUUGGGAUGCAGAUGGAGGCUCCUAUCGUUUACAAAACAUCGAGAAUGGAAACACUUUCUAAUGGUAAUGCUAUUGAGGAAUUGCUUCGAUCCGUGAUAGAUGAAGCUUCUCGUAAGCAUGGUGGGGCUCGUCCAACUCUUGUUCUGUGUGCUAUGUCUCGGAAAGACGAUGGCUAUAAGACUCUGAAAUGGAUAGCCGAGACCAAACUUGGUCUGGUGACUCAGUGUUUCUUGACUGGUCCUGCCACUAAAGGAGGUGAUCAGUACCGGGCAAAUCUUGCCCUCAAGAUGAACGCAAAGGUUGGUGGAAGCAAUGUCGAGCUUAUGGAUACUUUCUCUUUCUUCAAAAAAGAGGAUGAGGUCAUGUUCAUUGGUGCUGAUGUCAAUCAUCCCGCUGCUCGGGACAAGAUGAGCCCGUCCAUUGUUGCUGUUGUGGGAACUCUUAACUGGCCUGAAGCAAAUCGCUAUGCAGCUAGAGUCAUUGCCCAGCCUCACCGCAAAGAGGAAAUACAAGGAUUUGGCGACGCUUGUUUGGAGCUUGUCAAAGCUCAUGUUCAGGCCACAGGGAAACGGCCUAACAAGAUUGUGAUAUUCCGUGAUGGUGUCAGCGAUGCUCAGUUCGAUAUGGUUCUCAAUGUGGAGUUGCUUGAUGUUAAGCUAACUUUUGAGAAGAAUGGUUACAAUCCAAAGAUAACGGUAAUCGUAGCCCAGAAACGUCAUCAAACCCGUUUCUUCCCAGCCACAAAUAAUGAUGGAAGUGAUAAGGGCAAUGUGCCUUCAGGUACGGUUGUUGAUACUAAAGUUAUUCACCCGUAUGAGUAUGAUUUCUACCUCUGCAGUCACCACGGAGGGAUAGGGACAAGCAAACCGACUCAUUACUACACUCUUUGGGACGAACUUGGAUUCACUUCGGAUCAGGUGCAGAAGCUCAUCUUCGAGAUGUGCUUCACUUUCACUCGCUGCACCAAACCCGUCUCUCUUGUUCCGCCGGUGUAUUAUGCUGACAUGGUUGCUUUUAGAGGAAGGAUGUACCACGAGGCAAGCUCUCGUGAGAAGAACUUUAAGCAGCCGCGGGGAGCGUCAACCUCUGCUGCUUCGCUUGCCUCUUCAUUAUCUUCUCUUACAAUUGAGGACAAAGCGAUUUUCAAGCUGCAUGCAGAGCUUGAGAAUGUUAUGUUCUUCGUCUGAAGAAGAGAGUGAGUUUCUUUUGUGUUUUGGGUCUCAAGCUGAACUUAAACCUAUAUUCGAAAUCGGAACGCCCCAAUAACGCAGUUUUAACUCCUUUUUUCUGGUAGAAAGGAGUUUGUGCGUGAAUCUAAUUGGGUUUUUCGUAGUGUGUUUCUUUCUUUUUGGUUUUGGUGUGUUGAAACGAAUUUGUAAUCUCUUUUGAGCAAAAACUACGUCUUCUUCUUUUUUUGGUAUUAUUGUAUUUCAGACUCUGCAUUCAGUAAUUAUUUCAUAUUUUGCUAAUUUUGUUUCUGAGUUUUGUUAAAAUGCUUUAGAUCUCGGAGAUUAGAAUUACAUGUUCAGUGUGUGUCUGAAAUUUAGUAAGUGCAUUAACCAUGAUCAUGUUCGGUCGCUACUGAAGUAUGAUAAGCUCUGUAUCAUUCAAUUACUUCAUCAUUCCUUCCACUUUUGCCCCUUGUGGACUACCACAGAUGUUACAAGACAAAACAUAAUCUGUAAAUUGCUAAUCUCUGAACCUAAGACUUGAUAUGAAACAUUUAUUUUUAUUCCCAAUCGUUUUAUAAAGAUUCUGUUGCUUGCACAAUCUCAUUCACCACACUACUCAUGUACUCCCAGGUUAAUCAAUCAAGUUUAUUUGUGUCCGAAAAAAUGGAAAAAUAUGAGAAAUUCCCAUCCAAUUUUAAGGAUUGUUUGAAUGAUCAAAGUAUGGUUGUUUUAGAGAAAUGACCUUAAACACCCAAUUUUACGUUGUUCUCGUCCAAAACUAGCGGAAAAUUUAUAAAUUUUUCAAAUACCACAAGAUAGUAAGAGUUUGUAAGUUAUGGUAAGUUCAGAAGAAAAGAAAAAUACAUAAAUGAUAGUUUUUUGAGAAUUGAAUGCAUAUUUCGUCUUAGAGUCAAUUAGUUACAAUUAACAUGAUUAAUUAAUAGUUAUUUUGUUGUUUUGUUAUUUGUUGUUUGUAUGAAAUGGUGUUGUUAUAUAUACAUUGGAUACUCUUAUAGAAGUUGAAGCUGCAAUUUCUUCGUUGCAUGACUUCAACAUUUGAUACUCGUUAGUCAAAAUCUUUUUCGUUACAUCAGACUCGAUCAGGCCACAUAAUCAUAUUUAGAACUAAAUUACAAUCAAUUACGUAUUGUUCCAAACUUCCAAAAGAUAAUUGACCACAAACACUCAUUUCCAACAGAACAUGACUAUUACUGACUGACUCACAAGCAUACACUAAUAACUAUAUCCAUUUCUCAACAUAUAUCUUUACAUCCAUUUCUCAACAUAAAGGAUUGAACAAAUAACUUAAUUUUUCAUCAAAAUUAACAAUAACCCUAUCCCUAUGAAUUCUCAACAAAAAAAAGUUUAAAACAACACUAGCUACGAGCUCUCAAAAUGUUUGGUCGUGUGUUCGAGAACAUUUAUAUAAUUAAGUUUUUUCUCAACUUAUAUAAUUCCAUUUAGUGAAAAAUCUAUAGAUAUAUUUAUAUAAUUAAGUUUUUUCUCAACUUAUAUAAUUCCAUUUAGUGAAAAAUCUAUAGAUAUAUUUAAAAAGUUUACUAUUUCUUUUUGGCGGUUUAGAGAGCAAUUGUUUUUUUUAAUAAUUGAGUUAGUAUGUUUGAGUGGUCGAACUACGUAUUCACUAAUUAAAGACAUUUUAAUCUUGACAUAGUCAUACCAUUUUACAUAAGUAUGGCUAAAUCAAAAUUAAAAUGAUCUUAAUUAGCGCAGUGCCUAACUAAAGUUAUUUUAAUUUUGACAUAGUAAAAGUCUAGUUUAUACAAUCGCCUUUAUAGUGUAUAAUGUAUUAAAUAAUUCUAAUCAAGCAAGUGUUUUACGCAACUGAUGCUUUUGUUGAAAUACAUUAUUAGAAUUUAGAUUAAUAUAUAAACCGAUGUGAACGUUAUGAAUUUAAAACGGUGUUGGCUAGUGAAUGUUGUGAAAUAAAUAUCAGUAAAUUAUGCACAAGUCACAUAACUUUCAGAGAUUGUGCUACACUGCUACGCCUAUCAUUCAGCAACAUGAUUUUUUAUCUGUCUAGUUAUCUCAUGUUAUAGCGGUUUAGUCGAAUAAUAUAUGAUUAAUCAAAAUUUUACACACAAAAUAUACGUUCGUUAAUUGUAUCACAUCAUCAAUAAUAAAACAAAAGAUCUUUUGACUCGAGCUAAGUAAACCACGUUACAUACGUAAUUGAUUCUCCAAUCUUCUUUAUUACCUUUUUCAAAAAGUAUGCGUAUGAGCGAACCGAUGAGUAAGUAAAAGUGAUCGUUGAUCUGUUGGAGAUGAGAGUUUGUGUAAUUGACUUCAUCAAUCUCUUAACUAAAAAUAGCAAUGCGUGAGGGAAAUGUUUUUCAAAAGAUGAAAAGACACAUAAAAACCAAUGGAAAAUACAACAUCAAAAGAUUCUUUACAUAAAAUGGUAAAAAGAAAAAUUUACAAUCAAAGUUUUCUUUUUAGAAAACUGGAAACCCACGCUAAUGCGUAUACAAUACUCAUCAGUAUAUGAUAUAUCAAAUAUAUAGCCACAUAUAAUAAGUCCAUUAUUAAAAAGUACCGUUAUUAUCAUGACCAAAAUUUAAAGACAAUACACACGUACAACUAAUAUUAUUUAUUAAGAACAUAACAAGUAUUAUUAUUAUUAGAAGUAGAAAUUUUUUUCCAAAAGAGGAAAACGAAAACUUUAACUUUAUUUACUUACCUAAAAACCUUAAUUUUUGACACCUCUAGUGGGUUAUUAUAAUGUCGUUUUCGAUCGAAAGUGAAACAGAGAGACAGUGGACGCAAGAAAAAAACCGUGGGUGGAUGAAAGAAAGUAAACAUGAGAUUUUUGUUUUUCUUUGUUAAUGGUUUCCUUAAAUAAAUUACAAACAUAAUUAUAAUUAAGAAGAGAGUUUCAAAUAAAAUAAAAUGAAAUGCCACGUCUUACAGUUGCAUCUGACUCUGUUUUAUGUUAAUUGUGACACAAGUUUAAUACAGUUGUACUUUCUUACUUUUUGGUGGUUUCGUGGAAGAUUACGACAACUUUACAAACUCUACGACUUAAGCUUCUCUGUUCCUACACCUUUUGUUCUUCUAUUUAAAGCCCUCUGAUUUGUUACUUCACAUUCACAAGUUUUGAAAGCAAACACAUAAAGAAAAUUCUAGUUCAAUCUUUUGUCACUCAAGAGUCUUCCCGACCGUAUCCAGUCAAAUACCAUGGAUCGAGGUGGUUACCGAGGAGGUCGUGGUGAUGGCCGUGGCAGAGGCGGCGGCGGAGAUCGUGGUCGUGGUUACAGCGGUCGUGGUGAUGGCCGUGGCAGAGGCGGCGACGGAGAUCGUGGUUACAGCGGUCGUGGUGAUGGCCAUGGCAGAGGCGGCGGCGGAGAUCGUGGUCGUGGUUACAGCGGUCGUGGUGAUGGCCGUGGCAGAGGCGGCGGCGGAGAUCGUGGUCGUGGUUACAGCGGUCGUGGUGAUGGCCAUGGCAGAGGCGGCGGCGGAGAUCGUGGUCGUGGUUACAGCGGUCGUGGUCGUGGCUUUGUUCAAGAUAGGGAUGGUGGUUGGGUAAAUCCAGGGCAAAGUUCAGGUGGUCAUGUUCGUGGUCGUGGGACGCAGUUGCAACAACCUCCGCCACAGGAAGUUCCUCCGUCGUCGUCGCAAGCUCAAGUGAGUCAAGGCGUUGCACCAGGAGACGUGGGUCAAGGCGGCGUCGGAGACGUGGGUAGAGACGGCGUCGGAGACGUGGGUAGAGACGGCGUCGGAGACGUGGGUCAAGGUGGCGUCGGAGACGUGGGUCAAGUAGGCGUCGGAGACGUGGGUCAAGGCGGCGUCGGAGACGUGGGUCAAGGCGGCGUCGGAGACGUGGGUAGAGACGGCGUCGGAGACGUGGGUAGAGACGGCGUCGGAGACGUGGGUAGAGGCGGCGUCGGAGACCGUGGACAGAGUCAGUCGGGACUAUCGUCGGGUCACUUUGGUCGUGGGACGCAGUUGCAACAACCUCAGCCACAGGCGGUUUCUCAGUCGUCUUCGCAGGGUCAAGUGAGUCAAUCCUUUGCAACAGGAGGCGUGGGUUUAGGCGCGUGGGCUCGUAAGCCUCAACUUUUCUCUGAUUCGACGGUCUUACCUUCUAGUUCUUCGUCUAACGUCGUUGCUUCUCACACCGCUAGUGGUAAGCACCAUAACUCUAGAUUUUUCUUUGCCAUAUCUUUAAGCAUUUGCUAUUUUUCUAACGUUCAAGUAACUAAACAAUGAGUUUGUUUUAAGGUGAUUAAUACAGAAUGAGUUUGAGAAAAACUUAUGUUCUACAUUACUACCUUGGAGAAUUAAAAUUACCCAAAAUUGCUUAAAUCAAUAAUUUUAGAAUUGCUUACAAGAAAUAAUUUUAGAACUUAACUAAUUCUGAAUAUUAUAAGAAUAUUAAACAUAAACAAAGAUAUAUUAUAUGAAUACCUUUUUUGGUUUAAUGAAUAUUUAUGUGUUUUUGAGCUACAGAGAUUAACAAAUAAGUUAUUUGUAUGUUAAUUUCACAGGUUCUCAAGUUAUGACUCCGAAACCAUCUUCUUCUGAUAAGAAAGAACCAGUAAAGCGUCCUGAUAAAGGUGGUAAUAUAAAAGUGAAAGGCGUAAUUAAUCUCUCCGUCAAUCAUUUUAGAGUGAGUUUCUCAACAGAAAGUGUCAUAAGGCACUACGAUGUUGAUAUCAAAGGAGAAAAUUCUUCAAAAAAGAUAUCAAGAUUUGAGCUAGCUAUGGUCAAAGAAAAGCUGUUCAAGGACAAUAAUGACUUUCCUAACGCCAUGACAGCGUACGAUGGUCAGAAGAACAUUUUCAGCGCUGUUGAAUUACCUACGGGAUCAUUUAAAGUUGAUUUCUCAGAAACCGAGGAGAUCAUGAGAGGUAGAAGCUAUACGUUCAUCAUCAAACAAGUGAAAGAGCUAAAGUUACUUGACUUGCAAGCCUACAUAGAUGGACGUUCCACUUUUAUUCCGCGUGAUGUGUUGCAAGGAAUGGAUGUUGUGAUGAAGGAACAUCCUUCAAAACGUAUGAUCACUGUUGGUAAAAGAUUCUUUAGUACUCGGCUAGAGAUUGACUUUGGAUACGGAGUUGGAGCUGCGAAAGGGUUUCACCACACUCUCAAGCCCACAGUACAAGGUUUAUCAUUAUGUUUGAACUCCUCUUUGUUGGCGUUCCGCAAAGCAAUUUCAGUCAUCGAAUACCUGAAGUUGUACUUUGGGUGGAGAAAUAUACGUCAGUUUAAGAAUUGUAGGCCUGAUGACGUGGUACAAGAAUUGAUUGGUUUGAAAGUCACUGUUGAUCAUCGAAAGACCAAACAGAAAUUCAUCAUUAUGGGGUUGAGUAAGGACGACACAAAAGAUAUCAAAUUCGAUUUUAUUGAUCAUGCUGGAAACCAGCCUCCAAGGAAAAUAUCCAUUGUUGAGUAUUUCAAGGAAAAGUAUGGAAGAGACAUUGAUCACAAGGAUAUUCCUUGCUUGAAUUUGGGGAAAAAGGGUCGGGAAAAUUUUGUACCCAUGGAGUUCUGUAACUUAGUCGAGGGGCAGAUUUUUCCAAAAGAGAAAUUGUAUAGAGAUUCAGCCGCGUGGUUAAAGGAGCUUUCACUAGUCACUCCACAACAAAGACUGGAGAAUAUAAAUAAGAUGAUAAAGUCUAGUGAUGGACCUAGAGGGUAUGUGGACAAAAGAUUUUUAUAUUUAUUUUUUAGUCUUAUGACCUUAAUCUUAUCCUUUUAUGUAUAUUUAUGACAGUGGAGAUAUCAUUGGAAACUUCGGAUUGAGAGUGGAUCCAAACAUGACAACGGUGGAAGGUCGUGUACUCGAGGCUCCUACACUGAAAUUGACUGAUCGGAGAGGCAAUCCUAUCCAUGAGAAACUCAUGAGCGAGAGCAAUCAAUGGAACCUUACGACAAAGGGAGUCACAAAGGGUUCAAUAAUCAAGCAUUGGGCUGUUCUUGACUUCACUGCAUCCGAGAGUUUGAAAAAAAAGAUGCCUGGUUACUUUGUAAAUAAACUCAUCGAACGUUGUAAGGGACUUGGGAUGCAGAUGGAGGCUCCUAUCGUUUGCAAAACAUCGAGUAUGGAAACACUUUAUGAUGGUAAUGCUCUUGAGGAAUUGCUUCGAUCCGUGAUAGAUGAGGCUUCUCAUAACCAUGGUGGGGCUUGUCCAACUCUUGUUCUGUGUGCUAUGACUGGGAAGCACGAUGGAUACAAGACUCUGAAAUGGAUAGCCGAGACCAAACUUGGUCUAGUGACUCAGUGUUUCUUGACCAUAUCUGCCAUUAAAGGAGAAACCGUUUCUGAUCAGUACUUGGCAAAUCUCGCCCUCAAGAUAAACGCAAAGGUUGGUGGAACGAACGUGGAGUUGGUGGAUAAUAUUUUCUCUUUCUUCAAAAAAGAAGAUAAGGUCAUGUUCAUUGGUGCUGAUGUCAAUCAUCCCGCUGCUCACGACAAUAUGAGUCCAUCCAUUGUUGCUGUUGUAGGCACUCUUAACUGGCCUGAAGCUAACCGCUACGCAGCUAGAGUCAAAGCUCAGAGUCACCGUAAAGAAGAGAUACAAGGGUUUGGUGAAACUUGCUGGGAGCUUAUCGAAGCUCAUUCUCAGGCCCCCGAGAAACGACCUAACAAGAUUGUGAUAUUCCGUGAUGGUGUCAGCGAUGGUCAGUUCGAUAUGGUUCUCAAUGUGGAGUUACAGAAUGUUAAGGACGUUUUUGCCAAGGUUGGCUAUAAUCCGCAGAUAACUGUAAUUGUGGCACAGAAACGUCAUCAAACCCGUUUCUUCCCCGCCACAACUAGCAAAGAUGGAAGGGCUAAGGGCAAUGUGCCUUCAGGUACGGUCGUUGAUACCACGAUCAUUCACCCGUUUGAGUAUGAUUUCUACCUCUGUAGUCAACAUGGAGCGAUAGGUACAAGCAAACCAACUCAUUAUUAUGUUCUUUCGGACGAAAUCGGGUUCAACUCGAAUCAGAUUCAGAAACUCAUCUUUGACUUGUGCUUCACGUUUACUCGCUGCACCAAACCGGUCGCUCUGGUUCCUCCGGUUUCUUAUGCUGACAAGGCUGCUUCUAGAGGAAGGGUGUACUACGAGGCAAGCUUAAUGAAGAAGAAUUCUAAGCAGUCGCGUGGAGCGUCUUCGUCUUCUGCCUCGGUUGCCUCUUCAUCCUCUUCUGUCACAAUGGAGGACAAAGAGAUCUUCAAGGUUCACGCAGGCAUCGAGAACUUUAUGUUCUUUGUCUGAAAAAAAGUUUGAUCUUAAAAUAUUUAUCUAAAUAAGAACGUCUCAUUAACGCAGUUCUUACUCCUUUUUCUGAUUAGAAAGGAUGUUUGUGCGUGAAUCUAAUCGUUAGAUAUGCAGUUUGUUUGUUUCCUUUUCGUUGUUGGUGUGUUGAAAAUAGUUUGUAUUUGGUAUUGUAAUGCUCUUUAGAGCUGAAACUAUGUCAUGUUAUGGUAUUUUAUUAUAGUUUUCAGACUUUGGAUUCAAUAAAUAGUUCAUAUUUUGCUACUUCUCUGUUUUGUGAAGGGCUUGAGAACUCAGACAUGAGUACUCUAGUUUUGGGUUUACAUGUUCUGCCUUGUGUCUGAAAUUCCUUUUUUCUAAACCAUCUAUUCAUGUGGAACAUUAUCUAUAAGGUUAUUUUGUGUAAUGAUCAAUUGAUCAUGCAUCUCUACUUUUUUUUUUUUUUUUUUUCUUUUUUUUUUUGUCGUCGAUCAUGCAUCUCUACUACAUAUGCAUUCCAACAAAAAAAACAUAAUGGUGCUCUUGUUUUCGAUAUAAUAUCAGUUAUGGGCUCUCUGUUUUUAUUUUAUUUUAUUGGACCUUACUGAUAUUUCUUGGGUUCAUGAACCAUAGCUAUACCAAAUCAUUAAGGUGGAUUUUGCACGAUUUCUCAAUGUUUAAUUUCAUGUAUUAUAUACUCAUUGAUUGGUUGUUUGCAGAAUCUUAUUUACUACAUUGACUCUCAAGAGUCCCCUCCUAUAUUUCAUCAAAUCUAUCUUUUCAUUUUAUAAUUUUUAUGUAAUGAUAGAUUCCUCAUAAAUGUUUCUUGAAAACUAUAAAAAGGUAACUAACAUUUUUUUCCUAUAUAUAUAUAUGUGUGAUAUAUAUCCCAUAUAAAAAGUAGCAACAAGAAAAUGAUUUUAGAGAAGUGAUACCAAACCAAAUGAAAAAGACAUGAUAGUCGAAGUGAUUCACACGAAUCGAACUAUAAUAAUCUAUACUCUAUCUUAUUCACAUUUUAUCAUCUUUUUGUGUUUCAUGUUAUUUUCUUAUGUAUAUAUUCAUUUUUCGUAUAUUCUUUUGUUUUUAUCAAAAUAAAUUCAUUUUUCUUUUUACCCCACUCAUUAACAUAAGUUAGCCAUAUAUUAUUAUAAGAUUUUUUUCUUGCCAAAUAAAUGUAAGAGUUUCUUUUUCCCACAACUCAUUAACAAAGUUUGGCAUAUGUAAAAAAAAGAAUGAAUUUUAAACCUAAUACUAGCCUUUAAAAUUCAACAAUUAUUUUAUUUUUAUUUUCUUAUUUUCGUGCAACAGCUGGAGUGUUUUUUUUUUUUUUUUUUGUGUUCCCAGAGAUCGAGUGUUUUGUGUUUCUUCUCUCUAUCGUUCACAUUUGAUUAAAGCUAAAGCUUUCUUCUUCUUCAAUUGAUGCUACUUCUGAUUUACCCUUUCUCUGCUUUUUUCUCUCACUCUCUCAGUUUUCUCCUCCUUGAUUCCUAAAGUCUUCUCCUUUGCGUGCAUUUCUUCAAUUUUCAGAUUCUUCCUAAGGUACCCUUCUCAAAAUUCUUCCUUGUUUUGCGAUUCUUCAUCGGUUCAAUGGAUCCUCUUUGACUUCGAUUUUGAAUCCGAGCUUCGUUAUCCCUCGAUUGCUAAUUUCACUCUUUUGUUUAGGAUUCUUUCCCCAAUCUAGGUAUUGCUUUGCUUCUCUGUAUCUAUCGAAUCUGCAUUUUGUUAGUUUCGAAAAUUUUGAAAUUAGGGUUCAUUUGUGAUUUGUUCAUACAUCUUUGUUAGAUUGCAGAAUCUGUUCAUCAUUUUUCGAAUUCACAUAACUCAGAUUAGUUUGAAUCUAUUGAGAUUGAGAAAUUUCUUAAAAACUCUGGAUUUGUGUGGAUUAAGAUUAGUGUUUUGAGAUUGAUCUCUUUGUCAAUAUGGUUUUUUUUGGUGUAGGUGGUAGAAUGAUGAAAUGAGAAUCGAUAGAUAAGAGUUUAAAGAGCACCAGAAUCUUUGUUAUCUUGCAAUGUCGACGACGUCUUUGCAAACGAUUGGUGCUAUUAAGUCUUAUCAUCAUCAAGCUCAGCAUUUGGUUAAGAAUUAUCUCUUAGCUGAUCCUUUUAUUCCUUACACUUCUGUCCUCACCGGCAUUUUCCUUUGCAAAGUGGUAAGUUUGGAUUUUUGUUUGUUACUUUCAUGAUUCUGUAGAUCUAGGGACGAUUGAUUAAUGAUGGUUACGUUUCUUGUUUUGUUUGCAGGUUUAUGAUCUUUGUCAUUUUAUCAGCAACUCACAUUCUAAGACUUAUAUCAUCCUCACGAAAAUUCAAAGAAUCGAAUGGAAUAACCGGUUUGUGUUUGAUGAUUGUUAACUCUUUUUCAUGUUGUGUGUGUGUGUGUGUCUAUUUAGGUUUUUGAAUCGUUUUGUAUUGUUUGGCAGUGGUAUCUCGACAGUUCAUGCUAUUUUUAUUUCGGCUAUGUCGCUGUACUUUGUGUUCUGGUCCGACCUCUUUUCCGAUAGGUGGCAUAAUGAUCUUGUUGUUUUCCGGAGCUCACGACUUUCUUCUCUUGGUUUAGGGGUAAGCACUCAUUUUAGUGGAUCCAAAAACGUUAAUGUAAAAGUCUAUGAGAGAAGAAUUUCAACAUUAUUACAUUAAUGAUUUGCAGAUAUCUAUUGGUUACUUCCUUGCUGAUCUUGGGAUGAUCUUCUGGAAAUAUCCUUCUUUGGGUGGAAUUGAGUAUGUAAGUACUUGUUCUUGUCCAAACACUUUACUCUAUCUAGUGAUUUCUCUCCAAAGAUAUUCAAAAUCCUCCUUAUAUUCUGCUUGUUGAUGUUUCAAGGCUUAUAUACUUGCCUUGCUACAUUGCUCAACAUUACUAAUGUGUAAAGAUAGCUAACGCCAGUCGCCAAAAGCCCAAAACUAAGAUCAAGUUGACAUUUUGAUUUCAGAUUGUGCAUCACUCGCUAUCGGGGGUUGCAGUUGCCUACUCUUUAUUUUCCGGGGAAGGACAGUUAUAUACCUACAUGGUCCUCAUCUCCGAGAUUACAACCCCAGAGAUCAACUUGAGAUGGUACUUCCUCUUUUCUUCGUUAUACCAUAUACAAAACUUAUCACGUUCGCAACCUUUCUCCUGACAAAAAAGUGGAUUGUCUCGGUGGUCUUAUGAAGGUACCUGGACACGGCUGGUAUGAAAAAAUCAUUGGCAUACGUUGUUAAUGGCGUUUUCAUCUUCUUGGCUUGGCUGGUACUUACAAAUCCUAAUCAACAUUCGACUCAUUUUGAUACUAGGCAUUUAUGUGUCUACUUAUCACUCAAACACUUUCAUGUCAGGUUGCUAGAAUUCUACUGUUCAUAUACAUGUUUUAUCAUGUUUAUCUCCACUACAACCAGGUAAAGCUCACUAUCUAGCGGUUUUAUUGAUUAUGCUGAUACCCAAUUGCUUCAAAACCUUCCCCAUGAAAUUAAUACAUCACUAUGGUUUCAUUUCCGGAUUUUUUUUUAUGGUGUGAUUGAAAUGGAAUUACUUUGUUUUGUGGGUAGGUCAUGAGGAUGCACAUCUUUGGUUACGUUCUGGUAUUCGGCGUACCAGCUGCGCUCGGUGUCAUGAACUUGAUAUGGUUCGGGAAGAUUGUGAGAGGGGUAAAGAAAACAUUAGCAAAGAGAUGUGAAUGUUGAGAUUGGUGAGUCUUCCUCACACCGUUUCUUCACUUCAUCAUCUCCUUACUUCUUCGUCCCUCUGACAUAUGCCUGUCUCUCUAGUGUAAGUAGUUUUUGUCUGAUGAAGAAAGAAAAACGAAAAAACAAAAAUGAUAAUGAUACGAUCCUCUGACUCUGUAAAUGAUCAAAAUUCAAGUCUCUUCUUUACGUUUUCUCAUUAUACAAUGUAAUUCUGUUUUCAUUCUAAUAGUUUUGGUUCUAGGGUUUUGAUUCAAUUUCUGCUACAUUUCGUUUAACCGGAGUUCGAUACAGUACUACCAAAAUGAUGAACAACUGUUUGGUGUUCAAGUUCUAUGGAAGAGAAAACAUUUGGUCACCGGUUUACUAUUUUUUUGUUCAAUAUUCUCAGUAACAACAACAUAACUAUUGCACAUACAUCAACAUAGGGAUUGUAAUUAAAUAGUUAGAUAAAGAAUCAAAGUUUAGACAUUAUAACAGCUAGCAGAAAAUAACAUAGUGUAGAGUUUGGUGGAAUACAUGUAUUUAAACUCGGCUCGUGAAGGCCAUUAUAUGUCUAGCUGUUCGUGGUUAUCGUCGGCUUAUAGGCCCAUUCAGUGAACACAACUGCACAAUAUGUCACAUGAAUUGCGUAUUCGUAUGUCGACAUCAAUGAGUUAGGAUAAUGUACGGAUACAAACAAAGCUAUGUGGCUGAUUCUGUAUUUAGUCUUGUUUACUUUAAUUUCCAUUGUUUCUAUAAGAAAAAAAAAUAGUGUUUCUUUCUUUUCUUUUGUUAAAAAGAAUAGUGCUUCUUAUUAGAAAAAAAAAAAAAAUGUCAACACUAUUCAUUCUACCGGUUUUGAUCCGAAUAGUGAUAGAAUAAUGACAUUUUUACACAAAUUAUUAGAAGUUAAUCGGUGUAUAACCACAUAAAUAAACCAUAUAAUCUAAAGUUUUUUGUUUGUAUAUCAGUCACAGUAAAACAAUUUAUAAUCACACGAAUAGAUUUUUAUAGAUUGGAUUUCAGGUACAAUUUGGUGUGUCAUAAGUUAACAUAGCGCACCAGUCUCUAUCUAGAAAUGUUUUCUAUUUUCAUUUCAUUAUUAUUAUUGGUCAUUAUUUCAACACAGCUCACUUUCUCUGUAGAAAAGCUGCAUCUGUGAAGGGUGUGGGGGAAGAAAAAGAGAAGCACUUUUGGCCAUAGAGUACAAACACUAUACACAUUACAUACAUCACUUCUUUUUUCUUUCUAUAAACAUUUGUAUAUAUGAAAAACAUUAUAUUAUAUCAUAUUAUAUUUGCUUCCCCAAAUUGGCCCAUUGUGAUUUAUUGUUGUGACCCCUCAUGGGUUCCUUUUAUUUCCCCUUUUUCACUAACAAAUAAAAUAUUGAACUAUCGUGUUCAUAAGAUGGACCUUACGUGUGUUUAUAGGAUCUGCAUUGACUAUGUAUCUAUAUGAAGCAUGGUUAUUCAAGUUCCACUUAGUAUUUUAUUUGUUACAUAAGGUUUCCACUUUUCUUUAACUACAUUCUUAGUUGUUGAAAUCUAGUUAUAGGGAAAACUCGAAACUGAAAUAGGGCUUAAGUUGUUCUACAUAAACCCCACCAAGGUAGGAUUGUUAACUAAGCUAGGGUUAAAGUUAAAGUACGUUAAUAUGUUGCAGACCAUAUCUUUUUCUUUUAUAAAACGGUAUGCCGCAAACUUACUCACUUCACUAUUAACUACAUUAUUCUUAAAUUUCAACUAUACCAUCUUAAACUUUUGAUUAACAAUUAGAAAGUUUGUGUCACUAAGCUUUUGAUGCAUUGAAGAAAGAGAGAGAGAAGAAUGAGAAGGGAACCAAUAAUACUCAAUAGAAUGGCCUCCACACUCUUCCCCUUCCUUUGACUGCUCUCUCUGCCCCCUUUGACCACUUUCUCUCUCACUUAAAUGCUUCCCCCACGCACCUCUCUCUUGUGCGUUCACUCACGCUCCAAAUCCAAAAGUUUCACAACUUCUUUUUUUCUUUAAUUGCAUGAUUAUGUCCAUGAUUAGCUUUCGACUACGUCCUUCUAACACCAAUGCUAUAUUGAGUAAGUUGCAUUACAUUUACGUGUAUCCGUUCAAGUCUUUUCAUAAUCUCAAACCGUCUAAAUCAAGUAUCUCUCUAGCUAAUACGAUACUACAAUGUAGUUUGCGUUCAUAUGGUUAUGAAAACUCAAACAUAUUUAGAUAACAAGUAACAAAAGAUAUGGUUUUGACCUAAUUAAAAAAAGACUAAGCACCUUAAUUUGGUGUAGUUAAAUUCUAUAUAUAGGAACCUAAAAUAUUUUUAACCACAUAAAUAUUAUGAAUCCAUAUCUAGUCUAAACUUAUUAUGUUGAAACAUAUCGCAUUAGGUGAUAUGAAAUUGAUCCACAGUUUAACCAUGUAUAUUAAUCAACUUUAUAUGAUCACAUUUCAAUUUAUAUUGCAUGGAAUCAACAAUUUACUUAAGAAAACAUUGAGAGUGAUGAAAACAAGAUUAAUUAAGACUUCAAUAUCAAUUUAUGUACUCCGAUCAUCACGCUCAACAAUUUAAUCACUUCCCUAAUCAAAUUAACUACAUAAUAAUCAUUUAAAUUACUAUGGUACUGGACCUCCUUGAUGCUAAUUAUUAUGGCGAGAAGAAGAAGCCAGAGCGAAAAUGGAGCUAGCUAGCUUAUUAAUGGCUUCCACUAAUCCAUUCAUGCCUUCUCUAUUCAUCUCAACAUUAGAUUCUUCGAUCUUGAGUCUCCUCUCUUGUACGUUCAUCACUUCUUUAUGUCUCCGAUCUUGUCUCUCCUCACUCUCCCUAAUCGCGUUUGCGAUCACUGACACACUCCUUGAUAACGCAGCCGCUACUGUCGUCUCUUCAUCUCUCUUACUACGUCCAACCUCCUCCACAUCUACACCGCCGCCGCUGGGACCGGCGGUUGUGGUUGUCGGCAUUGUUCUCCUUCUCUUCGCCGGAGAUGUGUCUGAAUACUCACUUGUAUCAGAAUCUGUGCUACUAUCCUUCUUCAACCAAGUUAUCAAACAUAAUCCAAACCAAAUUACUAGUUAAUAUAAAAAAAUAUUAAAGAUAAUGUAAUGUAUAUAUUAUUUGUACUUCUUCACUGAAAAUAAUAAAGUGUUUAAUUAAGAGUUGUAUCAAACAAAAGUAUACAUAAGAGUGUGCAUUAAACUGUAUAUUAAAGAUUUUAUUUCUCAAGUGUAAUCAGACAUAAAUUACAAAUGUAUGUUUUUCUUUAAAUGUCAGAUUAUUUAACUCUCAAAUAAUAAAAACUAAACUUAGAAGUUAAGAAGAGAGAGAAAGAAGGUACCUACUGUGGGCAGUAUUGGCUGAGCAUGAAAAGAAGGCGGUGGAGGCGGUGGCAGUAGUAGUGGUCGUGGUAACGGCUGAGACGGUGGUGGUGGCGGCGGUGGCUGAAGUGGUAACAAAACAGGUUGCUGCUGAAUGAUUUGAUGUACUUUAGGAACAACAAAUCCUAAACCUUGUUGUAUCACUUUUUGGAUUUGUCCACCGCCUGAACCGUUUCCACUACUAAUAGCAGCAGCAGCAGCCGCAACUGCAGCGGUUACAGCGGUUACGGCGGUAGAAGAAGGAAGCGUUUUACUCUCAACAACUUCAAACAAAGCUUGGUAUGUUUGAGGUAACAUAUUACUUGGUAAGCUUCUCUCUUUCCUCUCACUCUUCUCCAUCUUCCAGUACGACGCCGUUUCUCCAGCUGGAGCUGAAGAUGAAGACGACUCACCGGCGGUAAUAGACGAUUCUACCCUUCGUCUCUCGUACUCUCUAACUUUUUUGUAGUCUCUCAUGAGAUUGUCCCAUUUGUCAUUGCACUGAUUCUGACUUCUCAUACAACCUUUUCUCCAACAGUAAUCUUCUAUCCACUUCCACCGUAGCUCCGCCGGUUUAUUACUCCGGAUAUCUUGUUGCUGCUCCGGCGGUGGAAGGCCGAUGGACCGCCGCAUCCUCCUCUCAUCAUCCAUCCUCUUGGCCUCAAUGAGAACCAUCGUCUCAUUCAACGUCCAGUUGCCUUUUCUGUACUCUCUCAUCAUAACCAACCCACCACUUUGGUCAGCCAUGUUUUCUUGAAAUCUUGAAAAAUCAAGAACUAGAGAGAGAGAGAGGCUUUUGGUAGGUGUUGGAGAAAGGGGAGAAGAAAGGGAUUGUCUUGAGGUGGGGAUAGGUGUAGUGUUAUGUGUGUUUAAGUUUUGGGGAUAGUUCUGAUUAUUAUUUUAUUUUGUGGGUGUGUGAUUGAGAAGACUGGUCAAAAUCUUUUUGUUGUAGUACUAAGAUUGUCACCAAGUGCAAUGAGAAAGGACAAGUAUUGCAAUAUUGGGAGCCAAGUGAAAAGAAAACUAUGUAAUGUGUAACCCAUUCAUUCAUUAAAUUUUGUUUGUUUGUUUUGGCAACAUUCAUUCAUUAGUUUAUUAAACUGACCAUUUUCUUUUCUUUCAUUUUCUUAUAAAAUGUUCAUUCAUUCAUGUCUCUCUUAAUUUCUUUGGGGACAGGAAAUCUUAGGUGAAUCUAGCAUUUCUAAUUAUGUAUACAAUUUCAAAUAGAUGGAGUUAAUGUUUCAAUGUUUCAUAAAAUCUACUUCCCCACUGUUUCUUAAAUAAUCACAAUGGUGAACAUUUGUGAUUUGUAGAUUUAUCAAAAACGAAGUAAAUGUGGUACGUAUAAAUUUAGAGACCAACAUUAUUGGUCACAAAUUUGUGACUAUUUAGCAACGUUAUUGUGACUAUAUUUAUGAAAAUCAGAUGAGAAAUUAGUAAAUGAAAAUCGAGAAGAACAUAUCUAUUGAUUUUUUUUCUUGUUGUUAGGUUUUUCAAUCACCAUUUGCUACAUAUUUAAAUACCAUAAGUUUUCUAUGUUAUGAAAGGUAGGCAGAGCUAGACGUGUAUAUAUACACGACAAAAUAUCAAGAAAACCACAAAUGAGAACAAUGCGAUUUCGAUAAAUUUUAUUAGUUUAGGACCACAAAUAGUUCAUAAGCGGUCUUAUUCAACAAGGCAAUUGCAUGAGUGAUGUAUCUGUUUUCAAACUUAUAAGAAAUUGGAAGAUUUUGGAGGCAUCCUAUGUAGAUCUCGUUUCCAUUUUAAUAAAACAAAUAAAGUGAUGUAUAUACUUUUUUCAAACUUCGAAAAGCUAUUGGCUUUGCAUGAUGAUUGCUUCUCAUACUUUCUUUUUAAAAAGGAUUUGAUUUACGAAUCUCUAAUUCAUGUGCACGAGCUAUAAGUAGAAGAGUAUAGUUACUUUUUUAAUUGUCUUUGCCUUGAACCUUAUUUAUGCGCAUGUAUGUUUGUAGAAUAUGUGAAUGCUUAGUUUCCUUAUUAAUAUAAUUGUAUGACAAUUGGACUCCUGUAUAGGGAUUUCUUAUUAGGUUUCUUACACAAAACAUGUUUAGAAAUAUAUACACACAUGAAACAUUCCUCGGACUGGAAAGUCUCAUAGCUAGAUCCAACAUAGAAUGAAUAUAACAUCAUGCAAAUUUUCAAAGGACAUCAAACAAAGUUGUACAUAACUACAUAUAUAUAUCCUUCAAAAUUUGAAAUUAAUUUUUAGUUAAAAAAAUUUCAUUUUAUAUAUCAUUUUUGGUAAUUAUAAGAUCUUAUAUCAAAUUUGAAUUUUUGUCAUAUCUGUAAUCAAUAUAUAAAUUUUUGUGAAAAGUAAAAAAGGUUUAAUGCAAAUCGAUUUUUCAUUUCAACUACAAUUUCUAGCACCAAACAAUUAUUUGUUGGUUAAAAUUUUAUAUUAUGUAAAUAUUUUAGAAAAUCUACUGCAAUGUGACCUUAAAGUUUAAACGCAUACAAAUAUUUUUUUUUCAUAAUUUCUCACAGUAAUUAGAUGUAUCAAUGCGUUGCAUGGUGCACUCAUAACUUCUUCUUUUUUCUUAAACAGUAUCAUUUGCUCUAAAGAACUUUCUCACUAAUCAAAAUAGAUAAAAUAAUAUAUGGAUACUAAUUUGCGUACACUACGUAAGUUGCAUUGCAUGGCGAGGGAUAUUAUUACAUCCCAUAUGAAAAACACAGACCGUUCAUCAUUGUCUGCACAAUAAUACGUAAACAAUCAAGUUCCCACGUUACAAGUCUACGAUACAGAGAUAUAAGUCUUUCAUGAAAGUCUAAAAACAAAUGAUUUCUUAGGAAAUGUAAUGUAUAAGAAAAUUACGACCAACUUUUUGAAAUAUAUAUAUUUAUAUCCAAAUUUUUUUUGGAUGAUUUAUACGCGAAAAUCAAAAUUGUAUUUUUUCAUCUACAUAUAUAUAUAUAUAUAUAUAUAUAUAUACAUUACUCCGAAGUCCGAACAAACAAACGUGUGUAUCAAAUAAGAUAAGUCGAUCAGUAAUUCCAGUGCCGGCUCUAGGGGAGUGCUAGAGGAGCAAAAGCACAGAGUCCUCAAUUAUUUUUUCAAAUUUUUUUUCAAUUUUCUUUAAGGUUUUAGGGUCCAAAAUUUUCAAAAAUUAAAAACCAAUAUUAACUAAAGUCAGUUUUUAUAAAUCAGCACAAGGUAUUCAAAAAGUUUGAGCCGGCCCUGAGUAAUUCCUAUCAGUUCUGUACUAAGAACAUUGAACUAAUACUAGUGGUAUUGCUCAUGUUGUCAUGGGAAGAGCCUUGUCUACAUGUAAUUUAUACAUCCGAAAAAAAUGUUUGAUUUCAAAUAACUUGUUGAUAUAUUGCAACUCUACUUUACAACAUCACAUAUGUUCGAAAUAAAAAAUUUUCAAAAAGCUUUCAAAUAUCUUUACUUUGUUUUUAUUAAAUUUUAAAUAAUUUAAGACGUCUUUCAUGAGAAUGUGUGUGUCUAUUCUAUACCUAUACCUACAUAUUUAUAAGUAUGAUUUGCUUCAAAGUCGAUGAUAUAUCAAUAAAAUAAAUAAAGAAAUAAAAUUAAACAAGUAAAGGAUCUAUCGAAAUUUGCAUGGAGGAGUGGAUUGAAUCAUAUGUAGUUCUGCAUGCAUGGAUCGUGUAUGCUUUUCGUAAAGAUCAUAUCUCUUAGACCUUCAAAGUUUAUUUGCUUUAAAUAAAUAAAUCAAAUCUAGUAUCAAAAGCAUACAUGAAUCAAUAACAAGACCGACGUUACAUACAACCUUAACAAUCAUUAAAAUGCUAUGUCUCUAUUUCUCUCUCUCGUCUUAUUUAUGUUUGUUUGAUGGUUGACAUGCAUGCCACUAUAAUUAGUCACGUCAAAACAAUGAAACCCUAAGGUAAAAGUAUAUACUUUAAAUUUUUAAAAUGAAUAUUCUUUUUUGUCAUGAUAUGAUCAAGCUAUUGAUAUUUUGUUCUUCUUAAAAUAGUGCUUGUUCAAAAUAUGAAAUCGAAAUCUUUCACUUCAAACCAAAAAAAGAAAAGAAAAUCGAAGUCUAUACAUGCAAGGAGUCGAUAGUAUUUGCAAGGAAUUUGUGGUUUCAACUUCCAGUAAUCAUGACUCAUCACGACCCUAUAAGUAAUAAUAUGCACAAAAUCAAAAUAUACAGUAAUUAAUAAAAACUAAUUACGUUGCAUCUUUUUUCUGUACUUUUUCGAAGAAAACGGAAAGCGUGUUUUGUUUCUUCUAAACGGACGCUAAAUUCAAAUCUUGGAUGUGCCUAAUCGAUUCAAGUAGCUCAGUUUUGGACGUCCACCAGAAUUUUUCCGAUAACAUUUUCGUUUAUAUUAAUAUGAUUUGCUAAUUUCUAAGAUUUCUCGGAUGAUUUGAUGAUAUGGUUCACUUGAUGCUAAAUUACUAACUAAAAACGAAAAGAAAAGUUUUGUGGUGAAAUUGGUGAUGGAAGAAAAUGAAUAUGAGGAACUUGAUGGAUGCUCAGAAAAUUUAAAAUAGAAGUUGAUUAAGACAUUGAAAACCACUUUAAAACUAUAUUGUAAGGUUUCUUAAUUAUGUGAUAAUAUAUCGUACAAAAUUUAUAAGAAUUACUUUAUAAUAGUUUUACCUUAAAAAUAAAAUUUGAUGUGUAAAAUUAAGAGAUAGUUAGUUCAAUAUUUCACUAAAGCAAAUAAUAUAAAUUAAAACCUGUCAAAACUAACGAUGAGUAACAAAAAAAUUACACAAUCGUCUUAUCACUUUGCUUUUACAACUUUGUUUUGCGUUUUUCAGUUGAAAACAUCUAAAUAUUAGAAAUGAUAUCAUUAAACCUUUGAUAUACGGUCUUCAGUUUUUUUGGGUGAUCGUGUUUUUGAAAUCAAGUGUUUCUAGAUAUGCUGAUGCGUUGUUGCUUCAUUAAUAAGACAAAUUUGUUUUCGACAAUUUUAAUAUUUUGAUUUUGCUAAAUCUGUCGUCAAUUAAGUAGAAAAAUAAUUACACGAAAAUAUAGUAGCUAUGAUGGUGUUAAUUAACUGAAUGGGAUGUGAUGACUUUGAUUGAAAUUUACAUUUUCAUGGUUAGAAUAUCCAAAACAAUGCGUGAUCUCAAUAUUUUCUUACAUAUGCUUGAAAUUUUGUUGUGAAUUGUUUUCUAAAACUACGAAAUAAAGUUGGUAAAGCAAAUAAUAUAACGAUUGUGUUUUUCUUUUUUUUUGAAAUCCAGGAGGUUCUGGACCGAAGCCUCUAAUUCCCCAGGUCCAAAACCACAGCAUGUAAUAUUAGUUUCGUCCCAAGCGUCACUCGAACCGGCGACUUCUAAGUUUCGCGUAGGAUUUUUACCAAUUGAGCUAACGACACUUGGUAUAGCGAUUGUGUUUUGCUUGUUAGUUUUUAAGUGUUUUUCUUUUUUUGAAUUUUGUCUUUUUUAUUUUUGCAAAAAAAUUUGUUUACUCCAACCUUCAAUAAUGGAUUGAAUGUGGGUAAAGAGGACAACAUGGUACAUUUCUAGCCAAUUUGAUUUUUUAAAGAGAGGAUUAUAUGAGAAAACUAAUAAACGAGAAAACAAAAGUCCAUUUCGUCCUUUAGGACAGGACACUGAAAAGCCUGCGUCGCCACGUCAGCUUUUUUCAAGUAAUUUAAUAGUGUGCCAGCUAGGACCCCCCAAGUAUUCCCUUUGACCAAUCACUUUUGUAGGUUUGCAAUUGCAAUGCGUCUAAAUAACAUUAUUUUUGCAAUCCUUUUACUUUGGUUUUAUAUUCAUUCACUUAGGUAAAGUGAUAUCAUAAAAUAUCCAUACGAACACUUCUAACAUCCACGAGCUAAAUUGACUCAACUCCUCUCAAAAUCUAGGUUUUGGUCAUUUCUUUCAACUUCUCGUUGCAACUGUAAAUUUAUGGGACAAUCCAUAACUAUCAGAACGAGAUGAUUUAAGUGACCGAAGGACCAAUAUGAUACAUAAAAAGGUUCGAAGGGCUUUUUAAUUCAUGAUAGGGCUUUUUAAAGGGCUUAGCCCAUCAAGUAACAUAUGAAUACCGAAUAUGUUUUUUUUUUCUAUUUGAUUUAAAAUUGUUGAUUUAUCAAAGACAGUAGCUGAACUGAACCAAUAUCAAUUUUCGCUCUGCUUAUUUUCAUAAUUUUCUUUUUAUGUAUGGACAAAAUUUCUUUAUAUCAAAUCAACAAUUUUAUAUAACAAAGUUUUCUUUAUACUUGUUUAUUUCAUUUUGUCAUAUUAAAUCUCUGUUAAGACAGUGUUAAUCGACGUCUAUCUUAAGCCCAUAAAGUUUAGAGCUAACUUUGGACAAUGCUUAAGAGUUAAUACACAUAAUUAUUAUAUAUUCUAAACUAUUUAAUUAUUUCCAGAUAUCUAUAUAUGCUCUUCCUCAAUUUUGUUUAUUUUGUAAAUUUAUGGUUUAGAUAUAUAUAUAUAUUAAUAUAUAUAAUAUUUUAUGUAUAGGGGUGUGCUAUUUUUUUUAUUAAUCAAUGAUGUAUCUUUAAGAAAUAUAAUAAAAACAAAAAUCAUAUUCGUUUAUGAAAUUUUUUAUUAACAAGAAAAAAACGAAAACAUAAAUGUAUAAUUUAAAUUUUCAAAAUUAGUUGGUAAAUCUUACUGCCCCAUUUAAAUUGGACACUAGGUCCCCAAGUGUUGGGCAUGCCUUUAUAUGGUUUUUACUUUUAAUGACCAAAAAGUGUGAUAACCCCUCUUGGGUCCCAAACUUCCUUAAACAAUAAUUAUACAAAUAUGUUAAGAACAUAAGUAAAAUAAAAAAGAAAAAAUUAUACAAUCUAAAAUGUUAAUAGGUUUAUAUGUAAAUUUACCAUUUAGCUAGAGUCAUUUACAAAUUUGUGAUAUUCUUACUAAACAUUGUAAAAUUAGAAUACGUACGACCAAAUAUGAACAUUGAACUUGUCACAUAUAUUGCCUCAUUAAGUAAUAAUACGUAUAUACUGUCAAUCUGUCAUCCAAAGAUAGGUAUAUUACUUUUCUUCGUUUUCAAGUAAAUAAAAGCCUCAUAUAGUACUAAACUAAUUAAUUAUGCUUACAAAAAUAUAGUACUUGGAUUGAGAUAUCAUAAAAGAUAUAAAUAUGUCUUUAAAACCUUACUCUUUAAAAUAGAAAACAGAAAACGUUCACUAGUCAAGUUAAUUCUUGUUAAACUCGACAAGACGUGAAAGUAAAUAAGGAUAUGUACAUGCAUUGUCGUCGAUCUUAUCGCAUCUUCUUCUUUAAUAAAUUUCUUGCUCAAGAUUACAACAUAUUUGUCGGCUCGACCACGAUAAUUCCCCAGAUAAAAUUUAAUAUUUUCUUUGCAGUUUUUUAGUAAACACCAAUGGUUUGCAUCUUUUGAAUAUUUUAAUGAAUUGGUGAAAUUGAGAUAAGUUUUACGUAUCCGAUUAAUAUAGAAGUUCCAAUGGCCAUAACAAAUAGUUGCUUCAUGGUUGCAUAUUUAUACUACAUAUAUCUAUUCUAUAUACCAACUUGUUUUUUAACUGCACGUUCUAUUAUAUAUUAUUAUUUAGGAGUUGUUUCAAGAAAAUAAAAUCAAAUGUCAAUGUUUCUUAUUGUUAAAAAAUUUCUAGUUCUUAGAAAAACUUUUAUCAUUUGAAAAAUUAUAUUAGUAACAUUUUAAAUGUUUUGACAUAGUGGAGUAUCUUAUCUAGUAUUCUUAGUAUGCUGACAUAAUCAUUAUGGUAAUUACUUUAUUGAAUUGGGUUUAUAUUGACAAACGUAAAGUUUGAUAAUUUCAUUUCAAUAAUUGUUGAUAUACUUUUCUCACAUUACGCUUAAACGACAAGGCACUAAACUAUCCAUGAUGUAACCCUCCAACAAAUCAACAUUUAUAUUUCCAAAUUUCCCCUUGCGGUCACCAAAAGCUAAUUACUUUCCUUCUUCUAUUUAUUUCAAUACUAAAACAUAAAAAGCCCAAUUCCAAAAGAUUACACUUGUCUUUAAAUAUUUUCGGCAAAUACUUAAGAAAUAAAUGAAGAAAAGAAUAACCGGCGUUGAAGAUUUUGGGUUUUUUUUUUACUUAGAGAGAGUAUAUAUGAAUUCUAUACUAUACUCCUGCUGUUCUUUAUUAAUUGAUUUUUUAGAAGAAAAAAAACUGUUUCAAAAAGAUUUAUUUUUAAGAUUUUUUUAUGCACUAUGUAUUAGUUAUUAUUGAUGAAUUUAUUAUUGAUAAAUUUUAAACUUCAAGAUAAGUAACUAAAUACCAUUGGUUUAUAAUUAUAGAAAAAUGUAAAUUACAAAGACUGAUACAUUUGUAAUCAAUUUUAAUAUAUUUUUUAAAUUUGUGUGUUUUUUAGAAAAUUAAUUUAAAAAACAGAUGGAGUAUAUAAUUGAUAAUUUUUUAGUUAUAUUAGAACCAGCAAUUUUAAAAAGCAAAGUUCUGGUUUUAGUUGAGUGAAGUGCUGUCCCUGACCUACAACAGUACAACCUAACAUACUAGUGUUUUAGACAUUAAUACUCAUUAACAAAAAUAUUUGUUUUAGACACUAAAACUGGACCGGGUUUGGAUUUGAGUAUUAUGUUUAUGUAUUUUUUGUUGGCGAAAAAUCAAUCUUUGUCUGAAAAGCUACAUAGCCUUGACUACUAUGGAAAAAGAAAAUUUAUCCACAAUGUUACAUGUAUCGUAUUUAACAAUUUAGAUAUAACAAACCAAAUAUAUAAUAGGAAUUUCGAUCACAUAUGUAUAGCACUUUCUUUUUUAUUGUUUUACGAACUUUUUUUGCUAGUUACCCGGUUCAUCAAAAUUUAAUUUGUUGACUGUGGGAGUCAUAUAUCUUGAGUUUGUUUGGCCAAUAAUCUAAAGCUAAUGGAUGAACGAUCAGGAAGAUGCAAACUACAUUAUCCAUCAAUUACUCCAAGUCGUGGCCAAAGGCAAUAUUUUCUCAUCAAAGUAAGAAUUCAACGUCUAACAAAUAUUCAAAUCAAUUUCUGCAUUUGCAGGGAAGGAGAAUGAAGAAAAUGAAGUGGCAAGCAGUGUAAAACUAUAUACGAUUAGAAAAAAUAUAACAAAUUUUAGCGAAUACGAUUAUAAAAUUAUAUACCCAACAUAUUCUUUGUAUGUAUAUUUUUUAACAUAAGUAGUGAGCAUUAAUGUUGUCGACGAAAAUUUCAUUGUUAGGUAGGGGCCAUAAUGAUAUGGAAGUGAUCUUCUGCUUAAUUAAUUGUAGUUUUAAAGUCCAUGACCAGUUCUUUUCAUUGAGAAAUAAAUUCCUCUCCAAUCUAAAUCUAGUUUUAGAUUUUUGUUUACCAUUUUUUUAUUUGAAUUUCCAUCAACCGAAAGAGCUUUUCUUUUGGUUUGCUUUAUUUCUUUUUUCAUGCUCUUUCAACCGUCAAAGUAACGUCUCUAGUCUCUUUGUCUACUUCAGUUAACAGUCUUCUACUCUCUCUCUUUCUUUUAUCUUUUCUCUUUUUGUUUGAACCUCUUGCCUUGAGGAACAAAGUGUUGAAACAUAAAUUAAGAGAUGCAAUUUGUAAGAAUUCAUACACACAAAAGAUAUAGUCGGAACAUUGGAUUAUGUUUUUCAAUCUAAGUAACGGAACAUAGGUUCAUAUACUGAAUUUGUUAAUGAUUUUUAAAAAAAAUCUCAUACAGUAUAUAUCGUUUGUAUAAAAUUUAUUAGAUUUAAGUGAUAAUUUGAUUGAUUAAAGGGAAGCUAAUCAUCAAUAUCAUGCUGAAUACUUUUGAUCAUGAGAGUUGCUUUUUGAUUAUAUUAUAACUAACUUCUUGGGAUGAUUAACUUAAAACUAUAUUAAUUUCAUUUUUAAAAUGGUUUAGUUAGGUAUACUAUUAACUCAUGGUUUGAUUGGUAAUUUUUAACCGCCUCGUCUGUAACCGAAACGCUUUGAAAGUUAUCAAUAAAUAAAGCGAUUAAAAGAAGCGGUUGGAAUAAGUAGAUUGUUGUAGAGAGAUGUUGGGAGAGAAAAAAAAAUAAGACGGUUGGAUUUGUUUUUUAUUUAUUUAUAAAUUCACAUAUAUUAAUCAUAAUUUAAUUUCUUUUUAUUAUUUUUAUUUCAACGUUCCUAUUAUUUGACCGCUUGUUAUCAAUCAUAACCAUAAUUUUACAGCUCAUUUUAAUUUAUUCACCUUCUCUUCUGCUUGCUCUAACAAUUUUGUUCAACAACUGCUAAAAAAACUGUUAACUAUAUUUGUGAACGAUGUUAUCAAUGGAACCCUCAGUCGUUUGGGUUGAGGAAAUUAGAAAGUAACAUUAUUAAGUCAGGGAGAGGUUACAAAAAGAAGGGACAAUAAUAGGUAAUCAAUAGGGUUGUUGCAUUCUUAAUUUGACAAAUUAACUACCACUGAUUUUUAUAAUUACAACAAGAGUUGACCAAUUGUAAUAAUAACACUCAUGAUGUAAUGACAAAAUUAUAUAUUGCAUGAGUAGUUUGUACAUUAUAUUUCGUAAAAAUGACUAAUUCAAGGACCCCAUAUAAUGAUAUAUAUACUCUACUUCUUAAGUAAAGUUACCCAAGUUUUGUUCCAAAAAAAAACGUAUAGUUACCUAAGUAUGACUAUUAGAAGGGGGCUAUUUAAUUUAAGGAUUGUCAAGAAAUAUUAAAAACUUUUCAAACAAGUGUUUUUUUAUAAUGUUAAUUUAUCCUCUUUACCUUUUAAUUCAAAUGUUGUUUUAUAUAUAACUUAAAUUUUGUUUGCUAACAAGUAUAGCUUUAGGUUUUCAAUAUAGAUUUUUGAUAAAACUAUCGUUUUAAUGUAUGAAUAAUGAAAAAAAAAUAAAUAUAAUAAUAACUUAAUAAGGGGUAAAAUCCAAAGUUUGUUUUAGAAAGAAAAAAAAAUAUGUGAAAAUUUUAAAUGACACUUACUGUGGAACAGGUGGAGUAUUACUCUUUAAUUAACCACAUUUUAGGUUAUAUUUUCCUAGACAAAGAAUCCAUAGGGAUAAGGAGUGAAUCCUGAACAAAACCCAAUUGAGCCCAAUGAAUAAAAAAGACAUCCAAAGUAGGUUUGAAGGAAAGGAUAGUCCAUGCUCCCUCCAUGUAGAGUGAGUGAUGGUAAGUAAAUGUGUCUUAUGAAGCUAUCGACACCAAGUUGGAGAUAAACAAAAUUGAAAAGCCAAUGUACGUAUGAUGUUGAUUCAGGAUUAAAAAUUUAUAAUAUGGUUAUAAAGUAACAUAUAUCGUGGAUUUGAAAUCUGAAAAAGUCACGUACUGUAUGUUGAAUAUGUAAGGUGUGUUAAUUGUAAAUCAUUAUAUAAUAACAGGUUCAAAGAAAACGAGUAGCCACCUGCCGAUGCAAAUUUUUUUUUGCCAAUUACAGACAAAUCAAAGAUUUGGGAUUGGAGAGGAGAAGAUCUAUUGAAACCGACACAUUAGGUCCAAAACAUUUCAUUUUAAUUAUUAUGAUUUAACGAAAUAGUAAAAUACAUAUAUCAACCUUUUUGGUCCGGUCCCUGUUCUUACGUCUGUGAUCAUAAAGUAUAGAGUGAUUUUUUAUUUUUUUUCAUUAUACAAAUUACAAAUGACUAAUUUAAUUAAUUAGUGAACUUUUAAUUUGUCGAUAACCAAUAAGAAUGAUGGAAAACGGCAAAAGAGUCGACUGUUGAAGUUUGUCGGAAAGACACUCCACCAAAAUAUAAAUACAAAUCUUAUCACUAGUGGAAACUGUCGAGUGUGUGUAGUUCUCUUUUCCUUCUAAUAAAAGAAUAUUAUCUUUCUAAAUUCUUCCAAAUUCAUUUUGGAAUUUUCUUUCCUUUUUCUUUUUGUUGACAUGAAAUUUUGGAGUCUUCUUCUAUCGCCAAUUACGACUAAAAAAACGAUUUUAUAUAUAUCAACAUAGCUCUAACAAGAACAUGAUAAUCGCAAAUAUACAUAGAUUUGCCUAUUUGUACACAAGCAAAGUUAGUUUUAAUACUCAGUAUAUUACAUCUCAUGAAAAGAAUUUACAGUUUUUUCUAUUAAAGCUGUGGGAGUUUUCUUCUAAAAUGUUUUUUUUUGUCGUCCUUGUAAAAUGUUCUACAUUCGUCAUUUUCAGGCUAUCUUUGAUUUCGAAAGCUGUGGGCGUUUUCUUUUUUUAAUUUUUUUAAUUUUUUUUUUUUUUUGUCUUUUUCUACGAAAAUAAAAUAGCGUGCACUGUAUUGUUUCUUUCAACUUUAUUUUUUGACUAGUGAAAGACUAGACAUUUUGUUGCCCUGCCCCUAUAUUUUUUGUGUUUAUUUUAAGGUUGUUUUUUCUCUUUUUAUAAUGACCGUAAAAUGAGUUUUUACAAAAUCUGCUUCAAAUAUGUAAUGAAAACCUUGAUAAUAUGUAAAUGUACUAAAAACAAAAUCUUGAUAUGGGUACAUGUGAAAAUAGUAUAUUUCUGUUCUAAGAAUAUACUGUUUUAUGUUCUAAAAUAUCAACAAAUAGAUAUCUUUGCAUUUUUUUUUAUACAUCAAUAUUAGUAUUACCUACAUUGUCUAAGAGAUGUAACCCAACUUAUGUCGCAACUAGAACUACAUCUCAGAAAUCACCGAGCCGAGAGAAAAUUGUAAGAGUCCUCGACCAGCAAAACGUAGGAACAUCAACUCAAAGCAGUCGAGAAUAAGAACCACUGACUUGCAUCAAAACAGAAGAUCUAACCACACCACACAGAAUCCGAAAAGAAGACAUCCACCAUCGUUUAAACUUUCAACCCUUGACCCAACCACCGGUGAUAAAGACUUGUCCAUUAUAGUUUACUAAAGUUUAUGAUCAAACUUAAAAUAUCUGUUGUUAGAUUGAUACCUCUAAUUCCUUUGAAUUGCUUCUUAGAUUUCCACUUUACCCUUCCACGAUUUUUAAGCAAUGGAAAAUUAAGUUUCAUUUGUUUCAGAUUUUAAUAUUAAUCCCCUUCUAUGCAAAUUGAGGGACCACGUAGAAAGUUGUGAGAAUCUCAAUACACAAAAGAUAUAGAAACAAUGAUUACAUGCACAAGCACGAGGCCAUAAAUUUCCUUAUCCUAUACACAUUUUCAAUAAAGAUGUAACAUUCCAAACAGAAAACCCUCUUGUAGCUCACUCUACAAAAAAAAGAGUAUAGAAUUCCAAUAUUAAAGUUUAUAGGUCGACUAUUUCAAAACCAAUUGCUAUAAAGUAAAUUGAUUAAUAUUUUUAUACUCUCUUCGAUUUAUAAUAUAAGUUGUUUUGGACCAAUUUUUUUGUUUUACAAUUAAAUUGUUUUUAAGUUUUUAUGCAAACUAUAUAUUUAUUUUAAUAUUUUAUAAUUAUUUAUAUUAUGCAGUCUCUUUUGUGAUUGGUUGAACUUUUUAAAAGUAAAUAUUCUUAAUCUUCGUACUUUUAGGUAAAACAACUUAUAUUGUGAAACGGAGGGAGUAUAUCAUUUACAAUUUCUCUUUAUUUAGUUUUGUGGUGAUUCCGAAUAUUAAUUACAACUUGUACCAUUUAAUUCAACCAUAUUCGAAGAAAACAUUAAAGGCAAAACAAAUUAAGGGGAAAAAGAAAUCAAAAGUUAAAAAAAAAAAUUAAGACCAAUGAGAAUAGAUAAGGGGUAAAAGACAAAAAGAGAAUAUAAAAAAAACAAAUAGCAUUUGGCGCCAAAAGUAAAACUAAAAUGGUCAUGUCACGUGAUGUUAAUUUUUGCUCUACGACCAAAGCAAAACAAACCUAAAGUUUUCCAAAUCUCUGGGUCCCACUCUCAGAUGUGCUGACUUUUAUUUUUUUUACUUUUGUCUUAAAUCUUUGGAAAUUUUCAGUUUUAAUUUAAUUUAAUUCAUCUCUCUUUCUCACUCUAUAAAUCCCCACAGAUCCGUCACACUUCACCUAGAGACCCUCCCACAGCUUUCUCGAUAACUGACAAUCCAACGGUUGAGAUUCAGUUCUUCUAGAUAAAUUCACAUAUCCAAAGGACACGUGGCGGCGAGAGAUGAAAGAAAGUAGCCGGAAGCAAGGAGCUGCGUCACCGUGUGCUGCGUGUAAGCUUUUGCGGCGGCGGUGCGCUCAAGAUUGCGUUUUCUCGCCGUAUUUUCCGGCCGAUGAGCCUCAGAAAUUUGCUAAUGUUCAUAGAGUGUUCGGUGCUAGCAACGUCAACAAGAUGCUUCAGGUUUCUUUCUUCUUGUUCUUCUUAAGAAUAUCUAAAACGUGCUUACUCAUAUGUUGGGUUAGGUUUAAUUAGGAUGAUUUUCUUGUUUCUUAUUUUAGAUGAGACAUUACUAUCAUUUCCAUAACUUUUUAUUGACAACUACCACAUGGGCCGACCCGUUUAUAUUAUAAGUUUAGGGAUUUAAAAACAAAAUUGUUGAAUUUUAAGAAUUUAGGAAUAUGUUACAUUUAUUAGCUGAUGUUGAAUUUUAACCAUAUUAACUUUUGUUAGCUAAUGUUAAUGAUAUGAUUUACAUUUCUUAGCUAGCUGAUGUAGAGUCUACAUUUGAGAUGGAUUAUAUAAAUUUUAUAUAGUCUUGCGAGAUUAAUUGGUCUAGUGGCUGACAAAAUGUUUUAAAAACUCAACAGGAAUUACCAAUCCACCAGCGAGGGGACGCUGUGAGCAGCAUGGUUUACGAGGCUAAUGCAAGAGUGCGGGAUCCGGUUUACGGUUGCGUUGGGGCAAUUUCGUCCCUCCAGCAACAGAUAGAUGUGUUGCAAGCUCAGCUAGCUCUAGCUCAAGCUGAGGUGGUGCAUCUACGUGUACGCCAGUCGACUAAUUUCCCAGGGCACGGACUAUGCCCGGAUAGUCCGAGUAGCAGCGGGUCACCGUCUUCGAAGCAAGUGAGUCCACAGGACAACAAGGGCAUGUUUAGCCAUAUGGACAUUGUGGAUGAAGCCAGUUUGGGAGAGUCUAUGUGGUCUUGCUAGUCAAUAAUGCUCUCUUUCUGCUACUGCAAUUUCCUCUUCCUUUUUUGGGAAAUUUCGGGAUUAUUAUAUAUUAAAUUUAGGGGUAGGAUAUGAAAAUGCUCUGUUUUGACUACAGAGUGAAAUUAUUAACAUGAUAUAGAUACAUAAAAAUACUAAAUAUAUUUAUAUAUUAUAAAUCUCUCUCUAUAUAUUUAUUAGUAUUUGUAACUUUGUAAUUCCGGGGUAUUUGGGAUUUGGUGUAUGUGUAGGACCUUUGGAUCAUGAUCCGGUAGGGUUAUUUUGAUCAUUUCCAACCGAGGAGGGAUCUUUGUUAUUGACCUAAUGUAAAUUUGUGAGAUAUAUUAUUUAUCUAUAUCUAUAUACAAUUAUGAUCAUGUAACCCAUGGUGUGUGCUUGACUCUGUGAGCAUAUUAUCGUGUAAUGGUCAUCUUUGAUACUAGCUAAGUCUAGCUUAGCAAUUAGCACUAAGCACUUGUAUGGGCCUGAAUUUUUAUUAUGCAAACUUAUGGCCCAUUUGUCUUUAUUUUUUGGUUUCCUUGCAAACAUUUGCCAUUUGAUAGUCGCUGAUAGAAUCGCUCGCAUAUGAAGGAAACAGAAAGACCGGACCGGAGCAUGUGCUUGUGGUAAGAAAUUUACAGUGAGCUUAAGAAGAAACACAAGUAAUUUAGUCUAUUAUAGUUCAAGAGCUUCUCCUGCAUUCAUGCAAAUGCAAGAGUGGUAAAAUAGCAUUAUACUAAGUAAAUUUGGUUAUGCUCCUGUGCGUUAUAUCAGGAUAUUCCCUUCAAGCAAUUGAGCUUCACAUAGCAAUCACUAGACCGCAAAAUCACAAUCUGUCAAUCACCAUUUUAGCCAUAAUUCUUUCUACUUGCGCAAUCCAAAUUUUAUAAGGUUUUCGACAAUGCAUUGUUUUUCAAUAAGUACAAUGGAAAACAAAGAGAUUAGAGAGAGUAACACAAAAGCAGAAAACAAGUUCCCUUUUUAAACAUCCUUAGCAAUGAGAUCACCAUUGAGAAACUCUCUGUAGGCAGCAACGGGCCAAAUGAAACCACGGAAGAUGAUCCGACUAGCCAAAGGAACAUCGAUGAUGAUCUCUUUCAUCGCGGGUUUCUUCUCACCACUAAUAGCUAUUAAGUAGCUUCUUCCAACCCACCCGAUCCAUCCAGCAAUGUAGAGGAAAAGAAUCCCUGGAGUAAUGAACUCUCCCCAAUGCCGCUGGUCUCCGUUCACUAUCAAGUGCGGUAAACCGUCUGACCCGCAUAACAAUCCGUACUUCCCGUAGUUGUCGAACCUAACAUACAUUCAUAAGCACAUCAACUUCAAACCAAUCCACAGUUCCACAAGCUCCUCAAUAGAUCAUAUCAAUGAUCAAAUUUAACAUGUCUAGCAACUUCGAAAACUCACUAACUCACCAAAAAAAUCAUACUAAAGCAAUGGAUCUAGCAAGUAAUUCACUAAAACAGAGAAAAACUCUGUUUCAGAACAGAGGAAAGCUCUGUUUCAGAACAGAGAAAAAGCUCUGGUUUAACGAAGAAAUAGAAAUGGAAGACGAACCUGCGUUUGGUUUUCUCGAUCUGAGCAUUGAGAGCAAGAGCAGGGGCAGAUUCAGGAGCGUAGAGCUUAAGAGAAGAUUCAAGCUUCUUGAUCUGUUGCUUCUCUCUUUUAGCGAACUGUUUUGAGUCCUUGCAAGGAGUCAAACCUGAGAUAUCAGCGACAGCUGGCAUAGGAGCAGAGAGGAGGAUGGAAGAGAGGGCGACGGCGGCGGAGAAAGCUUUCAUGGAUUGAGGUGUGGAGGAGGAGGAUUUGUCAUCGGAGCAGACGAAUCUUGCGGAGGAUUUAGGUACGGAUUGAGUGAGAGAUUUGUUAGAUCUCGGGUUGAGAACGAGAUUCGCCGGGAUAGUGAGCGACAUGGCGCUUUGUCGGGUUCUUUGGAGAUUUCGAAUUCUAGGGUUCUGGA